CGUCACUAAAGGCCAUUAAAGUCCAGGCUGCCUCAUGUUAUGUCUUCUCUCAUGACAGUAUAUUUUAUAAAUGUUUGUGGAAUGCUAAGGUGCAACCAAAAAUUAAGACAUUCUUUUGGUGCCUAGUCAGAAAUUCUCUUAAGACUUUUGAUAAUCUAUGGAAAAGAAAAGUCUCUUAGUCUCCUAAUUGUGGAUUGUUGNNNNNNNNNNNNNNNNNNNNNNNNNNNNNNNNNNNNNNNNNNNNNNNNNNNNNNNNNNNNNNNNNNNNNNNNNNNNNNNNNNNNNNNNNNNNNNNNNNNNNNNNNNNNNNNNNNNNNNNNNNAAUAUUAUGUACUUAUGCUCGCAUAAUUGGAAAAUGCAGAAUGAUAUGCUCUUGAAAAUCAAGUCCUUAACCUUAUCAAAGUGACCUGGCAAGCUGAAUGCACUUUUACAAAAUUUCAAGAAUUAUUGAUCAAUAAGGAUGAGCCUCCAAACCCUUUCCUAUCCUCUAAUAGGAAUUUAAGGUACUUGGCUCUCCAGAUCAAGAUUUUGUUAAGGUGAAUUAUGAUUGCUCCAUUAUUUUGGAGAGUAAAUAUGCAGGUCUCAAGUUUAUUAUACGAGGUAAUAGCGGUAAAGUGAUAUGAACUCGAACCAGAUACGUACAAACACCAAGAUAAACAAUGGUGGGAAUAUCAAAUUGAUAAACGCUCUCCCUAUUAAGAGGAAGCACCCUUACUAAUAAGUUCAAAUUUUCGCCCCAAGAUCUAACUUGAAAGUUUGCAAUUGUUUAUAAAACUAACAAACUUAGCAAUAGAACUACUAAGCCCUUUAGUCAUAAAUAGAUGAAGAAUGUUGAAACAACCCAAGAAACUAAUAAAAAGUUAAUUGAUUAAUCAAACAUGUAGAUGUGAAACUAAACUAAAUAAGUUAAUUUAAUCUCAAGAAAUUCAAGAGUUAACAAUUCAAGGAAAAUAAACUUCAUUCAAAAUGAUAUAUUGAUCUAAUGUCUUUGGCCAAAAUACAUAGCUCUAUUUAUAGAGUUGUGAAAUGAUUCUAACCCUAAAAAAGACUAAGAGAUAAGCAAUAAAGAAUCAAACCCUAAAAGACUCCUAAUAUGCGGCUGCCUCCUUUAGAAUUUUAGGAGAUAAACCAAUCUAGAAUAAAACUCCUUAAUUAAGAUAAACAACAAGGAAACAAAUAAUUCUAUCUAAUCUCUAUCUUGUAAAGAGAUAUGUGGCUGCCUUCUUCUAGAAGCAUAAGUGGCGGCUACCUCCUAGGGUUAGAUGAGACAUCCCAUACUUCUAGAAACCCUAGGAAGACUUAUUGACUUUGAUCUUUAACCUUUGACCUUGACCUUGUUCCAUAACUAGAAGCUAAGCUUCAUUAGUAGCAAUUAAUGUUACUAUCUUUAAGGCUUUGUCAUCAUCAUAAAAAAUACCAUCAUUAGCCAUCUUCAAAGCAUGCUCCAAGUAAGAAUUUAAGGCUUGCUUGAACUUCUUACUCCUUGCUCGUGUCAUUGGUCCUUCAUAGGCUAGUGGGUCCAAACUAGUUGACUUAGAUGNNNAUGCAUUAUUGUUGAUGCGCUCUAUCACUUGAAAUGGACCAUCACCACGUGGCAUCAACUUUGAUUUCCUUUGAUUGGGAAACCUUUCCUUCCUGAAAUGCACCCAAACCCAAUCACCAACUUCGAAUACCAUCCUUUUGCGGCCCUUAUUGCGUUGUUUGGUGAUUUGUUCAUUAUGCCUUUCCAAGUUUGCACGCACUUGUUCAUGCAACUUCAACACAAAUUCAGCCUUCUUUAUGCCAUCUAAAUUCAUUUGUUCACUCAAAGGUAAAGCAAUCAAAUCUAAAGAACUCAAAGGAAUAAAGCCAUAAACAAUCUCAAAUGGGCAAAAUUGAGUAGAAGAAUGCAUACUACGAUUAUAUGCAAAUUCAACAUGCGGCAAACAAUCUUCCCAUGUUCUCAAGUUUUGUUAACCAUGGUCCUAAGUAAUUGUGACAAAAUUCUAUUCACUACCUCGGUUUGACCAUCGGUUUGGGGAUGACAUGUAGUAGAAAACAACAAUUUAGUUCCCAAUUUACCCCAUAAGGUCUUCCAAAAAUAGCUCAAAAACUUGAUGUCCCUAUCACUAACAAUAGUUCUAGGCACACCAUGUAAACGUACAAUUUCUGUAAAGAACAAUUCAGCAACACGUUAUGCAUCAUCAGUUUUCCUACAUGUGAUAAAGUGUGACAUCUUUGAAAACCUAUCCACCACAACAAAAAUACUAUCAUGCCCAUGCUUAGACCUAGGUAAUCUAAGCACAAAAUCCAUAUAUAUGUCAAUCCAAGGAGAAUUAUGUAUGGGCAAAUGCAUGUACAACCCAUUAGGUUGUGAUUUAGACUUAGCUUGCUUGCAUACAAUACAGUUAGCACAUAAUCUAUUCGCAUCAGAUUUCAUCUUAGGCCAAUAGAAAUGAUCAUGCAAGACAUCUAAGGUCUUUGAACACCAAAGUGUCCCAUCAAGUCACCUUCAUGUGACUCUCUCACAAGCAAUUACGCAUAGAACACAUAGGAAUGCAUAGACGUUUUUCCUUGAACAGAAAUCCAUCAUGUCUAUAAAAUUUAUCAAUAGCACCAUGUUCACAAGCAUGAAAAAUAGAACCAAAAUCGUGGUCAUCAACAUACAAGUCUUUGAUAUACUCAAAACUAAGCAAUUUUGUUUCUAAAGAAGCAAGUAAAGCAUACCUUUUAGAUAGUGCAUUGGCAACUGCAUUUUCUUUACCUUGCUUGUACUUAAUGACAUAGAGAUACGCUUCAAUGAAUUCACUCCACUUAGCAUGGCAUUUAUUCAACUUGUUUUAUCCUUUCAAGUGCUUCAAUGCUUCAUGAUUCGUGAGAAUCACAAACUCCUUAGGUAGCAAAUAAUGCUGCCAAACAUCAAGUGCACGCGCAAGAGCAUACAAUUCCUUGUCAUAAGUUGGAUACUUCAAGUAAGCUCCAUUCAAAUUUUUACUAAAAUAGGCUAUUGGCUUCCCAUCUUGCAUUAAAACAGUUCCAAUACCUACACCAGAAGCAUCACAAUCAAUUUCAAAAAAUUUGGAAAAAUCAGGAAGUGAAAGAAUAGGAGAUGAAGUAAGUUUAUCCUUUAGCAUAUUAAAUGCUUUUUCUUAUUGUUCUCCCCAAUGAAACUUUACGUUCUUCUUUACAAGCUCAUUGAGUGGUGCGGCAAGGGUACUGAAGUCCUUCACAAACCUCCUAUAGAAGCUUGCAAGCCCAUGAAAGCUCCUCAUGUCACUAACAUUCUUUGGUGUUGGCCACUCCUUAAUUGCUUUCACCUUGUCUUCAUCAACCUGAAUUCCAUUUGCACUAACAACAAAACCAAGAAACACAAGUUUAUUUGUGCAAAGAUCACACUUAGCAAGGUUAGCAUAUAAAGAAUUCUCACGCAAAACCAUCAACACCAUUCGAACAUGUUCAACAUGCUCAUUCAAGCUCUUACUAUAAAUCAGAAUAUCAUCAAAGUAUACUACCACAAAUUUUCCAAUAUACGCAUGCAAAACAUGGUUCAUUAGUCUCAUAAAAGUACUUGGUGCGUUAAUUAAGCCAAAAGGCAUGACCAACCACUCAUACAAACCAAAUUUAGUUUUGAAUGUUGUUUUCCACUCAUCACCUAUAUUCAUUCUAAUUUGGUGAUAGCCACUUCUCAAAUCAAUUUUAGUAAAGAUAACACUACCAUGCAAUUCAUCUAACAUAUCAUAUAACCUAGGAAUAGGAUGACGAUAUUUAAUGGUAAUCUUGUUAAUUGUACGACAAUCAACACACAUACGCCAAGACCCAUCUUUCUUAGGGACUAAUAAAAUAAGAACAGCACAUGGGCUAAGACUUUCCCUAGCAUUAACCUUUACUUAGUAAUUCCUCAACUUGGCAUUGCAACUCUUUUGUCUCAUCGGGAUUGACUCUAUAGGCUGGUCUAUUUGGAAUGGAUGACCCCGGCACAAAGUCAAUUUAGUGCUCUAUUCCCCUUAGUGGUGGCAACCCACUAGGUAACUCCUCGGGAAACACAUCGUCAAACUCCUGCAAAACACUUACAAACACACUAUGAAGAGAAGAGUUAAGAUUAUUAGUGUUAAAUAAAGUUUCCUUGUACAUAAGUACAAGUACUUGCCUAUUUUCACUCAAAGCCUUUCUCAUAUCUUGCUCUCUAACUAAGAAACUUAUAUUUUUCUCACUUGCCUCCCCUUUUUCUUGCACCUUACUCAUUCUUUUGCUCAUAUUCUUGCGAAAACCCUCGUUGAACUCUCCUUUUACCACUCUUUGCUCUCGCCCCUCAUUAUUUUCCACACAACUCCCCUUUUGCUUAUGCACCUUUUCUUUUUCAUGUGCACUCUCACACUUUCAUUUUUCUUUCUUAUAUGCUUCCAUUCGGUCCUUUACAACUCUUUGUAAUUCACAAACUUCUUUAGGAAUCAAUGGUGCCAAAACAUAUAGUUUUCCAUCCAUUACCAAAGAAUAAGCAUUAGUUCGACCAUUAUGAAUUACAGAUCUAUCAUAUAACCAUGGUCUACCUAGCAACAUAUGACAUGCUUGCAUGGGAACAACAUCACAUAGUACCUCAUCAUGAUACUUCUUUACACUAAAUGCAAUCCGUACUUGCUUAGUAACUCUAAUUCCAUUUUGAUCAUUAAGCCAUUGCAAGGUGUAUGGCUUAGGAUGCUUAAUAGUUGGCAGUUUAAGUUUAUCAACCAUCAUAGCACUUGUUACAUUAGUACAACUACCCCCAUCAAUGAUUAAACUACAAUUAGCAUCAUGUUUUUGUACUUUACAUGUAGUAUGGAAUAUGUUUUCCCUUUGAGCAUCAUCAUCAACAGGUUGUAAAUUAAGAGUUCUAAAGGUUACAAGUACAUUACUAACCUCACCCAAUUACACAUCAUCACAAUCCUCCAACUCAAGCAUGUCUAAGUAAUCCUCCUUAGUAGGUUCGGAUUCUUCAUCACUCUCCAAGACCACUUCACCACAUCGUAUUGCCAUGGUUCGCUUGUUUGGACAUUGGGAAGAUAUAUGCCCAUACCCCAAACACUUGAAGCAUUGCACUUUCUUCGAUUUGAGGUCACCUUGCAUCAUUGACUUAGUGUUAACAUCAAGUUUAGGGGCUGCCUUGAUGUCUUUUGAUGCCUCACGACCCUUGUUAGGGGGCUGGUUGCUCCCUUUCCAUGUGUUACUCCAUUUUGAGCUAGGGGCAGCACUUCUACUCUUGGUUUUCAAUUGCUUUUCCACCUUUACGGCCAUGUGCAACAUGUCCUCCAUCUCUACAUAAUGCUGCAAUUCAAUUAUGUUAGCAAUAUCAUGAUUCAAACCAUGCAGAAAUCUUGCCAUUGUGGCUUCCCUAUGCUCAUCUAUAUUGGCUCUAAUCAUAGCUAUCUCCAUAGAUUGCCAAUACUCCUCAACACUCUUAUUACCUUGUACUAAAUUUUGUAACUUGUUGUACAAAUCCCUUUGGUAGUGCGAUGGCACAAACCUUUUACGCAUAAUGCGUUUAACCUCAUCCCAUGAACCAACUUCGAGUUCCCCAUAACACCUACGACUACUCACCAAUUGUUCCCACCAAAUGGCAACAUAAUCAUAAAAUUCAACUAUCGUAAGUUUAACCUUCUUAGACUCAAUAUAGUUAUGACAUUCAAAAACCCUUUCGACCUUCUUUUUCCACUCCAAAUAAGCUUCAGGGUCACUUUUACCAUGAAAAGAUGGUAUUUUCAUCUUAAUACUACCCAAAUUAGUGUCAAUUUUGGGUUGGAGACUAUGUCUAGACCCUUUAGACUCACUUUCUAGGUCAUUAUCAAAACCGUCCCUUUUAGACGUUUUCGGCAUAUCAUUCAAUAACCUAGUUAAUUUAUCAUCUUGUUUUUGAAAUUGUCUUUGCAUAUGUUCUACUAUAUCUCUCAAUUUAGAAGCUAAGUUUUUCAAAGUCAAUGGUUGUUCAAAUGACAUGGUUAACCCAAAAGACUAGAAAAGAAAAUAGAAAAAGACGUGAUCAAGUGUUAUACUCUGGAGCCUUCUUAUAGUAAAAGGCAAAACAAGAAAAGAUCACUCCCUCACGUGUUUCACUCACAAAGAAUUGAAUUCCUUAUAAAAAUUAAAUCAAAUUGUUCCAGUAAUCACAAAAGUGAGUUUUUCACAAUCUCUUAACGUUUAUUAAUUCUGAAGUUCAAUAGAACACUCGUGAAUCAAUAAAACGAAUUAUAAGCGUGUGAACAAAACAAGCUUACAACUAGUCGAACAAGACUCAAUUAACCUAAAAGAAAAGCUUUUUUAAGAGAAACUAAAAAAUUACCCAAAUCAGAAUUUCAAGAAUGAAGAACAGCUCCAAUCAGUUUAAAAAAAAGAAUUGCAGAAUGAAUCAAUCAAGAAUAAAUUCUUCAAGAACCACCCAACACAAACGGUUAGGGUUAGUUUUCCAUUCCUUUCCUUUUUUUUUUUAGAAAUCUGCCUUGGUAUGCAGGUAGCAAUGAAAAUAUUAUACUUUUUUUCUUUAUAAUGAUGCGAACAUAAAUUGAGAUGAAAUAGAAGACAAACCCUUAAUUGAAAAGAAAGUAAACCAAACUUACAAGCUCUGAUACCAAAUGAUACAAACUCAAACCGGAUACGUUCAAACACUAAGAUAAACAAUAGUGGGAAUAUCAAAUUGAUAAACGCUCUCCCUAUUAAGAGGAAGCACCCUUACCAAUAAGUUCGAAUUAUCACCCCAAGAUUUAACUUGAAAGUUUGCAAUUGAUUAUGGAACUAACAAACUUAGUAAUAGAACUACUAAGCCCUUUAGUUAUAAAUAGAUGAAGAAUGUUCAAACAACCCAAGAAACUAAUAAAAAGUUAAUUGAUUGAUUAAACAUGUAGAUGUGAAACUAAACUAAACAAGUUAAUUUAAUCUCAAGAAAUUCAAGAGUUAACAACUCAAGGAAAAUAAACUUCAUUCAAAAUGAUAUAUUUGAUCUAAUGCCUUUGGCCGAAAUACAUAGCCCUAUUUAUAGAGUGUGAAAUGAUUCUAAUCCUAAAAAGGACUAAGAGAUAAGCAAUAAAGAAUCAAACCCUAAAAGACUCCUAAUGUGCGACUGCCUCCUUUAGAAUUUUAGGAGAUAAACCAAUCUAGAAUAAAACUCCCUAAUUAAGAUAAACAAUAAGAAAACAAAUAAUUCUAUCUAAUCUCUAUCUUGUAAAGAGAUAUGUGGCUGGCUCCUUCUAGAAGCAUAAGUGGCGGCUGCCUCCUAGGGUUAGGUGAGACAUCCCAUGCUUCUAGAAACCCUAGGAAGACUUGUUGACUUUGAUCUUUGACCUUUGACUUUGACCUUGUUCCAUGACUAGAAGCUAAGCUUCAUUAGUAGCAAUUAAUAUUACUAUCUUCAAGGCUUUAUCAUCAUAAUCAAAAACACCAUCAUUAGCCAUCUUCAAAGCAUGCUCCAAGUAAGAAUUUAAGGCUUGCUUGAACUUCUUACUCCUUGCUCGUGUCAUUGGUCCUUUAUAGGCUAGUGGGUCCAAACUAGUUGACUUAGAUGCAUCAUUGGUCGCAUUAUAAAGUCAGUGAUGGUGGGAUUUGUAGAAGAAGAGUUAAUUCAACUCUAGUUGGUAAUGCAUUGACUAUCUUGGAGUCAAUUAAGAAGGUUCAAAGUAACAGCUUCAAGAAGAUUGUAUUUUAAUCAGAUUCAAAAAUUGUUAUUUCUACAGUCCUUAAUUGGAUGAAACUGAGAGAUUAAAGUUGUAAUUUAUUUAAUUAUUUCUUAUGUUCAUCAAGAGUAUUGCUUUAUUUUUAAGGGAAAACGAUCCCAGAUACCCCAACCUUUAACCAUUUUCGCGAAUCUACCCUCACCUUUAAAACAUAUCAAUUUGAUCCACCAUGUUUGCAUCUUGUAUCAUUCCUACCCACCCGUGUUUUGGCGUGUACCAGUAAUGACAUGGCGUCCACACGUGGCUUGUCCUGCAGUCUACGUGGCUGAGCAUAAUGAAGACCUCAAAACUCACCGUUUCACUCUCCCGAUUUUCUCAAUUCUUUUUCCCCAAUUUUUUCCCCGGCGAAAUCCCCAAUAGCAUAAUUUUGUACUGCUCCUCUAAAUUAUUCUGCAUUUGUGAAUUUCAUUCCUGCUAAAAACUUUAACUCUUGAUGAUUACACUUAGGAUUGUAAAUUAUUUUUUUCUCUCUCUUUUUUUUCCUAAACCACAGUCAUCCUCAUCACUUGAAACAAGAGUAUCAACCUCAACAUCACUGUCAGGGUACUCAGAAUGGCACUCACUACUAUCACUCACAUUGCCAUCCACUCUAGUAUUGCUACUAGCCCCCACAAACCCAGUGUCAUAUCUCCCUUGGUCACUAUCCAAUCCUAAACCAAAUCCAUUGUCAACUACAGUCUUGCUAAAGUCCUUUAGAUUCUGUUUUACAGUCACAUAUUCCUAAUCCACAUCUGAGUCAGAAACAUCACAAGAUAGGCUAUCCUCAUCAUCACAUUCAUCAUUUUCAGGGGUAUAAUCUUCAUCCUCACUAGAUCCAACAUAGUUAUCAACAUUGUUCACACAUUCAGGUAUACUUCAUUUUCCAUUUAUUUCCAACACUUUCAGGUCAGUUUCAUUUUGAUUUGUAUUUUCAAAUCCAACUACAGUCNNNNNNNNNNNNNNNNNNNNNNNNNNNNNNNNNNNNNNNNNNNNNNNNNNNNNNNNNNNNNNNNNNNNNNNNNNNNNNNNNNNNNNNNNNNNNNNNNNNNNNNNNNNNNNNNNNNNNNNNNNNNNNNNNNNNNNNNNNNNNNNNNNNNNNNNNNNNNNNNNNNNNNNNNNNNNNNNNNNNNNNNNNNNNNNNNNNNNNNNNNNNNNNNNNNNNNNGCUUCAGCAUAAACUUUUAAAAAGCCAUACUCUAAACCUUCUGCAAACAUCUUUUUCACUCUUCCUCAGUUUCAACAAAAACUAAGCCUAGUUCCUUCCCUAUAGGGUUCCAUCUCUUGGGGGUUCAUAGGCAACACUUAAGAAAUGUAUAUAUCCUAAUAUUUUCACUAUCUCCUCAAUAUAAUCCAUAGUGAAACUACAAAUGCCACUAAGAUUCUCAGUUUCAACAAAAACUAAGCCUAGUUCCUUCCCUAUAGGGUUCCAUCUCCUAGGAGGUUCAUAGGCAAUAUUUAAGAAAUGUGUAUAUCCUAAUGUUUUCACUAUCUCCUCAAUAUCAUCCAUAGUGAAACUACAAAUGCCACUAAGAUUUACAGAAUACCCACCAACAUAGUUGAGUAUAGGAUUACUAAUUUAUGAACCAUCAUGAUGAAAUUCAAUAGGAAUACUGUAAAAAUAUACACACAGCAAUUAUAUUAGUAAUGCAGCAAUACAAAUGCCACUUUCUAGUAAUAACAAAUGCAAAUGCAUGUAGUAAUAAUAAAUGCAAAUGCAUGUAGUAAUAAAAAACGCAAAUGCAAAUGCAAGUGCUUAAAGGUUGUAGUAAUAACAAAUGCAUUUUUCGUACAAUGUUAUACCCACGACAAUAAGAUUUCCCACCACUUGCAUUGCUUUACCCAUUCAAUGUAUUAAUAAAUACAUACCUUCGUUGCCUUUUUCUGGAAGGAGCCAUCUUGCGGGGGACCACAGGCACGAGCUUCAACAAUAUUGGACCAUAGAAAAAGGGACAAAGAUAAUAGAGUGAAUUUGGCAAAAUGAGCGAAUUCGGCAAAAUAGAAAUUAGAAACCCUAGAAUACUGAAUUGGGGAUUUCGUCGGGGAAUAAAUUGAGGGAAAAGAAUUGGGGAAAUCGGGAGAGUGAAACGGUGAGUUUUGAGGUCUUCAUUAUGCUCAGCCACGUAGACUGCAGGAUAAGCCACAUGUGGACGCAUGUCAUUACUGGCACAUGCCAAAACAUGGGUGGGUAGGAAUGAUACAAGACGCAAACAUGGUGGACCAAAUUGAUACGUUUUAAAGGUGAGGGUAGAUUCGCGAAAAUGGUUAAAGGUUGGGAUAUCUGGAAUCGUUUUCCUUAUUUUUAAUCAUAUACAUAGAGAAGCCAACAAGGUGGGUGAUUGGUUAACUAAAGCUGCUAUUAACUUUUCUGGUCUUUCUGAUUGGCUAUGCAAUCCUCCUUAGCAGCUUGUUGUUUUCUAUCUCUGUUAUACGGAUUUCGGCAUUUGAGUAAUGAAUCAUCAUGUGUUUUUAAAAAAAUCAAAAAAUAGAAUACAUUGAUUAUUGAAUUAUAAAUUAGAAGAACCUUGUCAAUGUAAUUAAAAAAUAUAAAUACAAAAUUAAUUAUUUAUAUAUUUUCUUUGUGUAUCUCUUAGGUAUACUUACUCUUAUUUUUAUUAUUAGUAAAGUUUGUACUCUAUUUUUCAACAAAUAAAAAUAUUCAUGAUUGUAUAAGACAAUUAUGCGUGCAAAGGGUCUUAAUAAAUUGAGUAAUAGAUAAAUAAAAUUCGCCAUUAACUUUUUUAACAAUAAUAGUUCACGGUAGUAGUUGUUGUACAAUUAAUUAGUCAACCAUAUAUUUUUGUACAAUUAAUUAGUCAACUGUAUUUGCUUUCCUCCUUCGAAAGGCAAUGAAUGGGAACUAGGAAAACGUUGGUUCAUUUAUGACAUCAACAUGGUAAGACACAAUUGUAGUUAAUUUAUUAAUUUUACGUGUUUUACAAAUUGAAUUUGCAUAUUUUUACCAUUUUGACAUUUUUUUAACCAUUUGCACAUUCAUAUUUUUAUUUUUAAUCAAUUUGACUUUUAAUGUGAUUUAUAGAAAUACAUAUUAAGCAUGCGCUACAAUGAGUUGGACAAAUGAAAUGUAUAAAUUUCAUAUGUAUAUUAAUAAAAAUUAAAAAAUAAAUAAUAUUGACAAAAAACUGAAAUUUCUAAAUUAGACAUAUUAGAAUUGAAAUUUCUAAAUCAUUUUACAAAUCUAAGUUCUUCAUUUAUUCAACUAAUUGUUUUAGGAAUCCUUUAAGGAUUUGUUUAAUCCUUUAAGAAUUAGUGAUUCCUUAUACUGUGAUUCUGACACUGUAUAAUAGUUAUUAUUUAUAAUAAUAGACAAGUUGUUAAGAGUCAAAGAGAAAGAGAGUCAGGUGCCUAGAUUACAACCACACUCUUUUUUAUGCUGGCACUACAAAAAUAAAAUUACAAAAAUAAAAUUACACGAUUAAAUCAAAAUUUGGAGAUAAAAUUAAUUAAAAAUAAAGAUAAAAAUGAACUAUUAGUUAAAAUAAAAAUUAAAAAAAAAGUCAGAAGUCAAAUAUAUUUCCGCAAAAUAGUAAUACAAAAUAGAUAUGUGAAGAAAAGGGGACAGAUACCAUUUUGAUAAUAACUUAAAGCAUAUAUAUCAUACAUAUUUGUACGAAUUGGACAUGUAAAAGGAAAGGAGACAUACCAAAUGCAGUAAUUGAACGUGGAAAGCUUUAUGAUUUUUGCAACCAUAGUAAGGAAAUAUAUAUAUUCAUAUCAUUUGGUUAUUAUAAUAUCUUAAUUUCGUAAGUAAUUUGAUAAAUACUGUAACUUACUUAUUUUUUUUUAAAUUAAAACAUUAAAAUCAGUAAAUCACCAACAUUCAAGAAUCUAAAAUAUGUAAUUCGGACUGGCACAUAUUAUAAAGUAGGCAAUUUCUUAAAGGAGGAUAAUACCUUUAUCCUUACCAUGUGAGGGGCGAAUAGAUUGAUGUAAAAUGACCGAAAAGUGAUUAGGCAGUUCAAGCAUGGGGUUAUUAGGACCACAAUGUCACCGAAUCUAACUCCUCAUCAACCGUUACAAUUUAAAGAGAAAAAAAAAAAUUUUAAAAAAAAGCAUAUAAUGCUUUGCCAACAAAUAAGCAAAAGAAAUGCAUAGAAACACUCACUUAUCAACGCUUUUUUCUAGUUAAAAUGAAGGAUAGUUUUAGGAUAUUAUAAAUUUAUAAAAUAAUAUUUUACAAUAACUCAUCACUCAUUAAAAAAUAAUAAUUUUCAAAAGUUUUAUAUUUUAAAUGUAAUUAGUGAAUUCUUUUAUAAAAUGUUAUGAUAUUUAUUUGUAAAUUUAAAAUUUAUAUGUUUUAUUGAAAUUAUUUUAACAUAAAUAAAAAAUUACGAUGCGAUUUUAUUUUUUGACAACUUUAAAUAAUAUAUUUUUUAUAAAAAAAAUAUUUAGUUAGAAAUCAUAAUAAAAAUAAAUAUCUUAUUAUUAAACUCUUUUUUGAUUUUGCUAGAAUCCAACUACUGUUAUUUCGAUCAACCAUUAUUAUCAAAUAUUUUCUAUUUAUAUAUUUAGAGUUUAACAAUUCAUAGAGUUGUUAUUUGAUUACCAAAUUGAUACUAUUGGAUGCGUCAUUUCUUUCGUGGUGAUAUGCAGUCAAAGAACGAAGUUAGGAAUUAUUAAAUUCUAAAUUCACUUUAUCAAAUACAAACAAUAUGAUAAUUAUCAGACUAAAAAUAAUCAAAUCAUUACGAAUUAUUUUAAUGGUGAAAUACUUAUUUUUACAGUGAUUUCUAGCCACAUAUGUUUUUUUCCUAAGAACACAUUUAAAAUUAUCAAAGAAGGAAACUUAUAGUAAAGUAAAUUUUUUGUACUUGUAAAAAUUUUAUAUAACUAAAUUAAUAAAAUUGGUUAUAACUAAAUUAAAUUAUGAUAAAAUAGAUAAAAAAUUUAAAUAAUUUUCACAUUAAUAAGUCAAUAUAUUUCAUAUGAUUAAAAUACCUUUUUUGACUUUCUUAUUUCAUUUUAUUUUUUCUCUUGUUUUUUUUUCUAUUUAUAAUAUUUUCUAACAUAAUAUUUAUUUUAUUUAAAAUGAAUUUCGUAUUUGUUAUUUAGCACAUUAGAUAUAUAAAUUUAUUUAUAAAUGAAAUAAAAUGUUUAAUAAAUUUCAGUUAAACACAGUUUUAAAAUAUUGAUAGGCAAAAUAUUUUAAAAGAUGAUAAUUUUUUUAAAUCUGUCAAUAUAAUCCCAUUUUGUUUUAACAAACUAUCAUGUGAUCUUUUGUGAAAGCAUAAAUUACUAGUCUAAUCACUUAAAUAGUUAUUUAAUAUAUAAAUGUUAUCAUUUAAUUUGAGAGAUUUUCUUUUCUAAUGACUUAAAUAAUUAUUUUUAAAAUGUGAAAUGGUUAUUCUAAAUUGUACCAUUUCCUUUAUUUCCUUAAAUACCAAAGAAAAGAAAAGAAAGGUGAAACAAAAAGGAGGAAAUGAUAAUUUUAAGAUCUUAAAGUUCUUUCGUUGGGUGAAAUGGAAAUGUCAUUUUCACAACUUUGAUAUAAGAAUAAUAAUUGCAACCUGACAGUACUUUUCUAUUUCAUGUUCUAUGGACAUGGACAUGGGCAGCUGCAGUUCAAGUUCUUUUUUUUCUUUUUCUUUUUUCUAAAUAUCAGUUUGCCUAUAUAUUCACAUUUAAAAUUGGUAAAUUAACAACUUAAUGCAUAUGCUACUGGCUGAAAUAAUUAUAAUAAUGAUACUUUGGGUUGAAAUCAUUAGGAUUAUGAUACUUAAAGAAAAUAGAUAAAUAUAUUUCAUUAAAUGUGUAUUUGGUGGUGAGGUAUACAGCAAAAGAAUCAGUCUUUUAUAUAUAUUCCAAAAUGUGACAUAUUUCUAUUAAAUAUCGGUGGAUGUCGUAUAUAAAAAAAGAAUAAAAUUAAAAAAAUUAUCAUUUGAUUUGAUUUUUUUUAUUCGAAAGGUGAAAAUAUUUUUUAUAUAAAAAAAAUAUCAAAUGUAUUAUUAUUUUUAAAUACAUAUUAUAAUUUUAUUAUUUUAAUAUGAAUCAUUACUAUGCUGUGAUAUUUAAUAAUACAUCAAAAGAUGUAUAAAUAUAUUAAAAUUUUAUUUUUUAAAUUUAAUUAAAAUUAAUAAUAUAUAUAUAUAUAUAUAUAUAUAUAUAUAUAUAUUAAUAAUUUUUUAUGAUCAUAAAAUAUCUAAAAGCUAUAUUAAUUAAAAAUAUUUAUUUUAUCAAAUAUUUAUAUCUAAGAAAUGAAAAAACAUUUAAUGUAUUUAAGAAAAUGCUGUAAAAAAUAAAAUAUAAUAUUUUUUUAUAUGAAAAAUAUCUUCAUUCUUCAAGUGUAAAAGCAUCAAACUACAAAGUAGUUUUUUAAACUUUAUCUAAAAAAGAUUAAAUUGAAAAUUUCUCUAUAUUGUGUUUGGUUGAAAUAUAGAAAAUAUAUAGAAUUCAAUUACAAAUUCAUAAUUUAUGUGUUUUGAAUGAAGUGAAAGUUAAUUUAAAAUAUAAUUAAAUUCAUGUGAAAUUGAUUAUAAGUAAACUAAAUGCUAAUGAAAUAGAUAGAAUUUAAAAAUGAAUUCCACAUUAGUUUAUCAAUAUAUUUCAUAAAAUUAAUAUAUCUCUUUCAACUCUGUUAUUUUUAUUUUAUUUUCUCUCUCAAAUCUUCUUUUUUAAAUAAAGUAAUUUUUAUAUAGAUUUCAGCUAAACAUAAUUUUAUUUUUUUGAUAAUUUUUAUAUUUUAAACUACUUCCUAAUUGAUAAUAAAAUAGAUUUCUCACAUAAAUUAAAUCAUAAAAGAAACAUAUAAAUACAUAUAUACUUAAAUUAUUGCCCUAUAAUAAUGACCAACAUUAAAAUAAAAUACUUUUACACUUUUGUAUCCCAAACUAAAGGAAUAAGAUAAAAGUGCACCACAAGAAUAUAUAAUUUAAUCUCAUUUUCAAAAGAAAAGAAUAUAGUUAUUCUCCAUUCUCAAUAAAUCUUUACAUUUUAAAGUUCCUAACUCUGAUUUUUGCAAUUGGAUCCAUAUAUAACUUUUCUUUCAAUUUGAUAAAAAGAAACAAAUAUAUAAUUAUUUAUGCAAUUAAGGAAGAAGAACUUUUAUAUCAUAGAGAAACUCAAAUUUAAAAUAAAAUUAUUCUUCCAUAACUUAAUAUUUAAUAUGUAUCAACUAUUCAAUAUCAAAAAUAUAAUAUAUAUAUAUAUAUAUAUAUAUAUAUAUAUAUAUAUAUAUAUAUAUAUAUAUUAUAGAUAAAAAAAUUUAAAUAUUACUCAAGUUAUAAUAUAUACCUACCACUAAAUUAAGUUUGUGAAUAUCACCCUUCCUCUUUAAUAUCAUAUUUGUAUUUUUUUAUUUAGUAAUUUAGAAUAAUAUAGAGCGUGUUGGAUAGGACUCUUGCGGAUAAUAAAAUAUUAUUUCAAAAGUCUUAACGUAGUUACACAUUUAAAAACUCAAAAUCAUAAUUAAGCUCAAAAUACUAUUACCAUCCUAUCUAUAUAUACUCAAAAUCAUAAUAAAAUUGCCAUUUCUAUUUUUAUCUGAUUGAUAACUCGACUAGCUAGUUGCUUUUGCCGUGAUAAUAAAAGGAUAGAAAUUCAAACACAUGCCAACUCUAUUAAGCUUGAUUUAUGGUUUUACUUAUUUUAAUCAAAUUUUCCAAUAAUUUUAAUUAUGGUUUUUUCAAAAUAAAUCUUUCUGAAAAAAGAGUCAAUAUAGUACUAAAAAGAGAAAAUUUAAUGAGAACUUUAUUUACUUAUCGAUUGUUUUAUUUUAUUGUAAAUAAAUAUCAAGGGUUAAUUUUACAUGUCAAUUCAUAUUCGGUAAUGCUAUUCUUAAAAUAAUUUACUUUCUUACUUAGAUAAAACAAUAGGUAUAAGUUAAUUUUUUUAGUUUUAUGGUAAUUAAAAAUGUAGAGAAGUAUGUGGUAAAAGGUAUAAAAAUGCCUUUAAACUUAUUAUAAAAGUCUAAUUAAAUUUUUAUUAUUUUUCUUAAUUCAAUUAAACUCAUUAAUUUUUAUAAAAGAUCCAGUUGAGUUUUUUUUUUUUUUUUGGUCAAUUAAACCCAUCAAUUUGUAUAAAAGGUCCAAUUAACUCUUAAUACUAAUAUCGUCCAAAAUGACGUUGACAUGUAAGAAUCUUAUUAUUUUAAGAGUGCAAAUAAUAAUCGCUCUGAAUAUUUUAAAAUCACGCCUAUAUCACAUGAGUGAGAAAAAACUACUUUUUUCCUUAUUUAACUUACAUCAUAGCUCCUACAACUAUAUAAUUUUUUUUAGGAUUGGUCUCCCUUCAUGAAGUAUACAUCUUUGUGGUUAAAAAUAUAUUGGAGGUGGAGAGAUAUAAUAUAACUCAACAACUUACACUCAUCCUUUAUUUACAAAUUAGCGUGAUGAAAAAAAUGAAAAUAUUAUUGCCAUUUUAGGUGAGGCAAGAAAUUACUACUCUUUUUUGUAAAUGAUGAUUUAUAAAUACUAAUUAUGCAAAAGUAAAAAAAAGUGGUUUUCUAUCCAUCACGUGAUAUAUGCAUGACUUUAAAAUAUUCAGAACGGUUAUUAUUCGCGCUCUCCAAAUAAUGAGAAAUUUACACUUAACGGUAUUUUGGACGCUAUUAUCAUUAUGAGUUAAUUGGAUUUUUUUAUAAAAGUUAAUAUGUUUAUUGGGCUAAAAAAUAAAAUAAAAAUUUAAUUGGACUUUCUAUAAAAAUUAAUGAGUUUAAUUAGCCAAAAAAAGAAUGAGAGUUUAAUUAUAUUUUUCUAAUAAGUUUAAAAGUAUUUUUGUUCCUUUUGCCAAAUUAUUUUAUAUAAUUUUAUUUUCCUAAAAGAGUAUAGUUUUCCAGUUAUUUUUACAUGUGAAAAUAAAUACAGGUCUGUCUGUCUGGUGAGAAGGACGGUUUGGUAAAUAGAGAAACAAGAAAAACAGAGCGGUGGAGAGAGGGUUAGCAGCGGGUCUUCUCACUUGUGUUCAACGUCCCUUACCUGCAAAGCAGUCCACAUAACACAAACAGAAAACACUCUUAUUUAUAUUUAUAUUUUCUUUUUAUAAUUCUUGCAUUCAAAGAGAGAGAAAAGAACAAACUACGCACUAAGCUUAAACAAGGAAUAAAGAAAAAAAAAAAGAGAUUACCAUGUUUAAAUAACAAAACAGAUACACAGCCAUAGCCACCCCCAACCCAACUCUUGUUUUAUCUCUCUCUCUCUCUCUCUNNNGUCUUAUUCUUCUGGAAUUCUACAACUGGGUUGGUUCUCUUUUCUUUUCUUUUGAAAAAUGGAUUCUUUGCUGAGAUAGCUAUUGGGUUUUGCAAUAAAGAAGAAGAAUUUAGAGACAGUAUAAACGAUACAAAAUUAAUAAAGAAAAUGUCUUUGAAGAGUAGAGGUGGGGAGCUGAAUUAUUCUUAUUCUUCUUCUACUUCUAAUAAAAGUGUUAUAUCACAAAGAUGGACCCUUUUCCUUUGCUUGUGUUGUUUCUGUGGUGGAAUGCUCUUCACCAAUAGGUAUGCUUUCAAUUCACACUGUUUUUGGGUUGUUUUCUUGAAUUUCAAGCUAGUGCUAUUUUUGGAAUAUAUGUUCUUUCUUUUUAAUCUCUUUUCCAAAAUCAGGAUUUUGAUAAAAUCCUUCUUCAGUUUUCUGGCUUUUACAAAUGGGAGAAAGCUGUUUUGGACAAAUUCUUUGAAGUUCUCAUGUUUUUGAGAUCUAUCUCUAUCUGAUUCUUAAUUGUAUUUACAUGUAUAUUAACUGGUUUUGUGAGAACAAAUGUGUUUUUAAUCAAAUGGAUGUUCUUUUUUUCUCUAAAUUUUUUUGUAAUCUUAAUAUGUGAAAGGUUUUCUUGGCUUAUACUUUUUGGGUUUCAUUUAGGCCUAAUAAAUGUAGAGAGAGAUAAAUAGAUCCAUAUUUGGAUUUUCUGAAGGAAGCUCACCCUUCAAAGUUUGUGGUGUUAUGUUGUUUUUCUAUCUUUCAUGAAGUUUUGAUGAUAAGUCAAUUGUAGUCUAAAACUAGAAUUCACUUCCCUUAAUUUUUGGUGGACAUUCUUGCGUCUUGAAAAACUACCUCCAAUUUUUUAUUAAAUCGGCUUCAACAUUAAUUGGAGGUAAAGCCUCUUUUAUCUGAUGUCAUAAUCUUUGUUCAGUUUGUAGCAAAUGUCACCGUUGGUCCUUCAUUAGAUUUUUUCAAUUGAGCGAUUUCUUUAUCCUCCCAAUAGUAUAAAAAUAUAAAACUAAAUCUGUAGUUCUCGAUUAGCUUUGAAUUUAUUUUGUGGCUUCUGGUGCAGUUAGAUCUUAUUGAGUCCGUAUUUUAUUAUCGAAAUUGAUUUUUGAGAUUUUGUUUGAAGUUCUAUGUGCUUUUAUUUUUAUUUAAUUCAAAUUGUGAUGAUAUUUCAUCAAGGACAUAUGUAGUUGGCAUUUAAUUUAUGAUGGCCUGCUAAUGAGGAAAAUUGCUGACAGGAUGUGGACAGUUCCCGAGUCUAAAAGUAUCACCCGGACAACUGCAAUGGAAGCUGAAAAAUUGAAGUUAGUUUCAGAGGGUUGUGGCAUUGAAACUGUGGGUAUCUCCUCCAUUACUUUGUUGUAAUCCUCUAAGUUUAGCUGACAGAUAUGCAUUAAUUUGUUCCUUCUCAUUCAAAUGAUUGUUUGUAAUCUGAUUUGAUUCCUUUAGUUGCAUCAGAAAGAAGUAAGACGCGACUCGAAGGAUAUUAUUGGAGAAGUGUAUAAGACCCAUAAUGCCAUACAGUGAGUAUAUCUUAUGCUGUUCUACCCUCUGCUGCUAUAAUUUGUUUAUUUUGGCUUUGAGUGCUAUAAUCUUGAGUAUCUAGCUUAUCAUAGCAUGUGGAAUGUAGGACAUUAGAUAAGACCAUUUCAAAUUUGGAGAUGGAAUUAGCUGCUGCAAGGGCAGCACAAGAGUCCAUACUCAGUGGCUCUCCUUUAUCAGAAGACUUGAAGAGUACCGGAUCAUCAGGGAAAAGAAGGUAUUUGAUGGUUGUUGGUAUUAAUACUGCUUUCAGCAGCCGGAAAAGAAGAGAUUCAGUUCGUGCAACAUGGAUGCCACAAGGUUUGUAGAUUGUUCACUUGCCUCUUUAUCCUCUAUUUUCAAUAUUCUUAUGCUAUUCGGAUUGCAAAUUAGAGUAAACUUUCCUGAUUACUGUUUUGAAACAUAUGGAAAUUAGGUGAGAAAAGGAAGAAACUGGAAGAAGAGAAGGGUAUCAUCAUUCGAUUCGUCAUUGGUCAUAGGUAAGGGUCCUAAUCUGGUAUGACUUUUUAGGCGUGUGUGUGCUAGUGUAUUUAUUCUUUCCUAAUAUGUCAAACUGUAGUCCCUUCAAGUUAAACUGAAGACUCAGCAUUUUAUGCAGGUAGAUAUUCAUAUUGAUAAAAUUUUUAAUGUGUAUCUUCAAACUGCUAGGACUUGCACUACUUAAGUUAAUAUCUAACACUUCUAUCUAAUCAGUUUACUUGAUAAAUUUAUUGUUUUAUGGACUAAGUUAAUUUUUUUGGAAAUAAUGGCACCAAUUUCUUAUGAUAGAAUAUGAAAAUAUGUAUUUUCCUCUGGUGAUUUUAUUCUGCAAAGAUUCUAGAAAAAGAUACUCAUAUCAUCAAUUUGUAGUUUGCUUGGUUCUUUGAUACAGACUAUUUGUAAACGUUGCCCAAUUGUUGUUUAUCUAAGAAGCAUUUAACCAUCGUGAAUAACUCAGGCAGUUAUUACUGUACAGAGAACUUUGUUUACCUGGGGCUACUGUUUUGUUUCAAUCUUUAAGACAAUCCAUAAAUUUAAUGACAAUCAAUUCUACUCUCUCUAAAAUCAUUGCAUGAUUUAUGACAAUUUAUAUUAUGAAUUCAAUUCUUGUGCCCUAGAUGCAAGAUACGCAUAAACUUCAAGUAAUACUCAUUAAUGGUUCCACUAGAUUGUGGAUUUAUCACUACUAAUCGAAAGUUUUUUAUUCUCUAGUGCCACUUCAGGAGGCAUUUUGGACAGAGCCAUUGAAGCGGAGGACAAAAAGCAUGGAGAUUUCUUGAGGCUGGUAGGAGUUUUUAUCCGACUUUCCUUUCUUCUAUCCUUUUUCUAUGGUACAUUUGUUUGCUGUAUACAAAAGUACGGUCAAGAAAUGAAAGAUAAAAUGAAUUGUUACAUUUUUUAUUCUACCGUAUGAACAGGAUCAUGUUGAAGGAUACCUCGAAUUGUCUGCCAAGACAAAAAUAUAUUUUGCUACUGCAGUUGCUUUAUGGGAUGCAGAUUUCUAUGUCAAAGUUGAUGAUGAUGUCCAUGUGAAUAUAGGUACAAAAAUGUACUGUUUACUGUCCUCUUAUUAAUGGUAUGAAGUAUUAAUCUGAAGAAUCUAAAUUGGUACUUUUGCCUAGUUGAAAAUUAGAAAAUCAGAAAACCAUUAGUGAAGAUCAAUUUUAUAUAUAGUUUUUCUUCAUCUGAAAAAAAUGAUCUUUAGCUUUUGAUUGCUCGAGCAUGUGAAAAUUUGCAAGAAUGAUUUUUUCUUUUUCUAUAUUCAUACAAAUUCAUGUAAAAUCAAGUCCAUUUCUUCUUAACUUGAUGCAGCGACACUUGGAGAAACUUUAGUUAGACAUAGAAAGAAAUCACGGCUAUACAUUGGAUGCAUGAAAUCUGGUCCUGUCCUUAAUCAAAAGUAAGUGAGAUUUUUUGGUCUGUCAGAAGAAUUUUUGAGAAGGUAGAUUCUAAGAUCGCUCAUUUCAAUGAACAGGGGAGUAAGAUAUCAUGAACCUGAGUUCUGGAAAUUUGGGGAGGCAGGAAACAAGUACUUCCGCCAUGCUACCGGACAGCUAUAUGCCAUUUCUAAAGAUUUGGCUACAUAUAUAUCAAUAAACCAGUAAGUUAUAUUUCAUUUAAAACUUAAGAUGGAAGCUUAUGAGCAGAUGCUUAGGUCUGUCUAUUUGAUGUUCUGUUCUUGAAUUAUGAUGUCACUUGUGGACAUAAUUAUGCCAGGCAUGUUCUGCACAAGUAUGCUAACGAGGAUGUUUCAUUGGGGUCUUGGUUUAUUGGACUUGAUGUGGAGCACAUUGACGAUCGGAGACUUUGCUGUGGCACCCCACCAGGUAAAUUCAAUAAAUUACCUGGAUAUUUGAAAAGUAUAGUUAUUAUUUAAUUCCUAAACUAGGCUUUUCUUUUUACCUUCAUGCUGAAGAAUAGUAGUUCCUAUGUCUUACUUUAGCAGGGCUUAAGCCUCUUUCGCAUCCAUUUUUACUUGCAAAAUUUUUCCUUGACAGUUCAUACCAGAAACUGAAUUGACUGAGUAGCACAUUGAUGUGAUUAUUUGUUUAUAACUUUUAGUGGAAGGUCAAGAGAAGUUAUCAAGUUCAUUCCUUUAAAGCUUUCGUAAAACUAAUACCUUGCAAAUAAUGAUUUUAUGGUACUCUCAUGGGGCCCAUUUGUGCUUUAACCAUUAAAUUAAGGAUACUUAUUCUGCAUACUGACAAUUAUCCUACUACACCACAGCAUUUGAAUUGAAGUGAAAUAUCCUCUUGCGGUCUUUUAUCAACAUUUUCAUUUCUAGCUUAUUUUCCUUUUUGAGAGUUUUUGCUAUAUAUGAUUUAUAUAUGUAUGUUUCCAAGUACAUGUAUACAUAUAUCUGAUGAAAUAUAUUUGACCGCACAUAUAGACUUGGAUGAGAGCCAAAAGUCAAGAUUGAGUCAGCAUCAACUUUUCUCAAGUACUGAUAGAGUCUAUUCAAAUAGUGAAUUCUGAAUUUGUUACGCAAUUACUGCAGAUUGUGAAUGGAAAGCGCAGGCUGGCAACAUUUGUGUUGCUUCUUUUGAUUGGAGCUGCAGUGGAAUUUGCAGAUCUGCCGAUAGGAUUAAGGAGGUCCAUAGGCGGUGCGGAGAAGGUGAGAAUGCUUUGUGGAGUGCAACAUUUUAAGAGUUCUUUUGAGUCUUCCAAACUUAGGAGGAUCAUAAGCUAGUGUUAAAGAAUGAGCGUGCGGGUCUUUUUCUGUAUUAUUUUUGAGUAUAGAAAGAAAUGGAAUAUUACACGAGUAGUGCUAGAGAGACACGGAGAGAGUGAGCGCACAUCCGCGUGCGUGAAAGAGUGAAGAGGAAGAGUGACCCCUUGCUGUGUGGAUCUUUUCCAUUUUAGUAUAAGGAAAUAGAACCACAUUGAUGGGCAAGGAAAACAGGCAAAAUGCUGUCACCAUUCAACCAUUCUUUGAUGCUUAGAAAGCCAAUUUGUAAGUUAACAGUUCUAUGGCUAUCAAGCUAAUAAUAAAUACAAAUUCUUCUGGUAUUUCCCUUCUUUUCUUUUGAUUUUUACUCAUCCGUUUUGCUAUUACCUUGUCUGAUUCUACAUCUAUGCAAAUUAUAUCAUGGCUCCAUGUCAAUGCAACAAUGUGGACCUGAAUUAUUUAACACGUGUGGUUGAUGACUAAAUUUAUAAGAUUUUGUUUUAAGAUCGGUGUUUGUACUAAAAUGUGUUUUUUCUUUUGUUUGCUUUCUUAGUCUUUUGCAUAAUAAAAUAGUUGUCUCGAACUAGUUAAUUAUAAAUCUUACAAUAUAAUUUUAUAUUUGAUAUUUGGUAAAUUAAUAAUUUUAUUAAGUAUUACAUUUCAUUAAAUAUUGAUUAUUUUAUUAUUUAAAAAUUAGUAAUUUUGUUAGUAGUUGAUUAUAAUAAUAAUUUUAGUAUAAUAAAAAUUAAUAGAAAUAAUAAAGAAUUAAAAUUUUAUUUGCUUAAAAUUUUUUUAAUGCAUUUUUUAUUUACAAAUCCUAACAUUUUUUAAUAUUUUUUUUAUUGACUUCAAGGAUGGUUCUAUUUUUUUUAUAAAAUAACAUAUUCUUUUUUAUAUGACAUUAAAUUUUCACCGCCACACAUAUUCAUUAGGUUUAUUAGACAUAAAUUGUAAGUUCAUUAGACAUAAAUAUUAGAUUCAUUGAUAGUACAAUGUAGGUUCAUUAAAGAUUUACUCUUAAAUAUAGUUAUAAAUAACAAGAUCAUUAAGCAUUAAUUGUUGAUAGGUUCAUCAAAUAUAAAGUGUAUAGUUCUAAAAUGCAAAUCCAUUAAUUAAAAUAUGAAUUGUUUUUUAAAUUAUAAAUUUCUAAACUAUAAUCUAUGAAUAUUAGGUGUACGUACGAUGAACUUAGUUUAUAAAUUAUAAAUUUUUUAUUUUGAACCUAUCAAUCUGUAUAUUUUUAUAAACUUCUUGGAUAUUAUAUAUGAACUUCAAGUAUACUUGAAAUAAAUUUAAAAUUGCUAACUUACGAACUUGUAGUUUUAUAAUAUAAAAUUUUCAAUGUAAUUUUUAUUUAUAAAUUUUAACACUUUUUAGUAUUUUUUUAAUAAUUUCACAAAUAAUUCUAUUUUUUUUAUAAAAUAUCAUAUUUAUUUUUUAUAUGACAUUGAAUUUUUACUGUCGCGUAUAUUUAUUAAGUUUAUUAGAUAUAAAUUGUAGGUUCAUUAGACAUAGAUUUUUGGUUCAUUGGUAGUAUAAUGUAGGUUCAUUGAAGAUUUAUUGUUAAAUAUAGUUAUAAAUAACAAAACUAUUAAGUACUGUUUAUAGGUUCAUCAAAUAUAAGGUACGUAGCUUCAUCAGUUCUAAACUAUAAAUUCAUCAGUUAAAAUAUGAAUCUGUUUUUCGAAUUAUGGAGUUUUAAACUAUAAUCUAUAAAUAUCAAGUAUCUGUGUGAACUUAUAGUUUAUAAACUAUAAAUAUUUUGGUUUUAACCUAUGAAUUUGUAUAUUUUUAUGAACUUUUUGGAUAUUAUAUAUGAACAUCAAGUAUACUUGUAAUAAACCUAUAGUUUACAAUUUAUAAACCUGUUGUUAACUUACGAGCCUAUAGUUUUAUAAUUUAAAAUUUUCAAUAUAAUUUUUAUUUACAAAUUUUAACAUUUUUAAUAGUUUUUUAAUGACUUCAAGGAUAGUUCUAUUUCUUUUAUAAAUUAUCAAAUUUAUUUUUUAUAUGAUAUUAAAUUUUCAUUGUCAUGCAUAUUCAUUAGGUUAACUAAAUAUAAAUCAUAGGUUAAUUAGACAUAAAUUGUAGGUCCAUUAAACAUAAAUUGUAAGUUCAUUGGUGGUACAAUAUAGGUUCAUUGAAGAUUUACUCUUAAAUAUAGUUAUAGACAAUAAAAUCAUUAAGUAUUACUUAUAGGUUUAUUGAAUAUGAAGUGUAGAUUCAUUAGUUCUCAACCAUAAAAUCAUUAGUUAAAAUAUGAAUUUAUUUUUCAAAUUAUGAAUUUUUGAACUAUAAUCUAUGAAUUUCAGGUGCACGUGUGAUGAAUGUAUAGUUUAUAAAUUAUGAACAUUUUAUUUUUAACUUAUAAAUCUGUAUAUUUUUAUAAACUUCUAGGAUAUUAUAUAUAAACUUCAAUUAUACUUAUAGUAAACUUAUGGUUUAUAAUUUAUGAAACCUGUUGUUCGUUACGAAUUUGUAAUUUUAUGAUUGAUGUUUAAAGAUUUUACUAAGAAAUUUAUGUUCAUAACAUAUGAUGGUGCAUUGUAAUUUGUAAUUAUGAAUAAAAAAUUAUUAAUUAUUAUAUUCUAUUACUAUUAUUAUUAUUAAAUUUUAAAAUCAAAAUAUUAUUAUGUAAUAUUGUUAAUAAAGUUUAUAUAUGUAUAAAAUUUCACUUUAACAAUUACACCGAAGAAGAGUAAUGAAGAAAGCAUGAUAAUUUGCAUUACUCUGUUCAUUAUUUUAUUGCCAAGUAGAAGCUCUCUCUUAUUACACUUACAACACAUGAGACCAUCCAUCAAAGUCUCAUUUUUGUCUUUCCGGACAUUGCAUUGACCUACGCAUAAUCCAUAGAAAAAGGGAAAAGAAAAGAAAAAGGGCUGCAUAUGCCUUUGUCGAUACAUAGCUUAAGCAUCAUAAUGCCUUCUUCCUGACUGGAACCUUGAGCUACCUAAGGUUGUUUCCUCUCUAGCAAACUUGAUUCUCCUUGCCUCUUCUAUCGACACCCGGAAUGCAUUGGCAAUCACCUCCACUGGCAUGCCGCGAACAGCAGAAGAGCGGCCGGAAAGAUCAGAGGUCAUGGCAUUGUCGUUGGUCUUGAACGCGACGUAUUCGAAUCUGUCACUCUCUGAUCGUUUCACCACCACAAAGUUCUGUGGCACGGUCAGGACCUGUCCUUCUCUUACAUUUCCAUCGAACACACUGUUGCCGUUCUCAUCCACCACCUGAAUCCUUGCUUGACCCUUCACGGCAUAGAUUACGCUGUGGGCAUUUAUGUGCCAGUGGGGUAACCUCACAGCAUCCUGCCAGGAACAUAUCAAUCAUUAUAAAUUGUGGAAGCGCUUCAUUAUAAUUAGAAUCAAAGGAGCAUUGAUGACUUACAUUGCGAAGAACGACAUGGGAAGCACUGAGUUGGAGCCAUCGCAGAAUAGGGAGGUUGUGGCUGUUGACAGUGCUAACACGGCCAACUUCUGGGACAAAUAUAUCAGAGCGAGAGGGAUCAGCAAUGUUCUCUUUCAUUCUCAUGGUGCAAAAUGUCUCCUCAACGCCAUUGUAACGUCCUGGUCGGCCUUCUUGCUCUCUCUCUCGUUGUUCCUCUCUCUCUUGUUGAGACCGGGGUGGCCUGACUACCAGAAGCCUACCUUCUACAUUCACAAUGCUGCCUCUGAAGUCAUUUUGGCCUUGAAGCUUCCUAGCCAACUGCUCGUCCACGUUGAAAGCUUCGGCAAGGACUCUUGAGUCUAUUCCGCAGAAAAGAUUGUUGCACGAAACAUGUGGUGGCCGACUUGGACGGCGAGCAAAUUGAUGCUGGCCGCGCUCAUAGUCGCCGCGUGGAAGUUGAGGGAACUCAUCUUCUGUGUUGCCAGCUAGAUAGAAGUUCUGUUAACAAGUUCAAGAAAAACCAUAAAAUGUGAAUUAACGCCUAACAAACACCUGACCAUACAGACACGCGUAGGUAGGCAUAUGUUUUUGAUUCUUACUCUGGGGUUCCUGUCAAGCUGGUUGCCUAUGUUGGCAGUGUCAAGGACAGAAAUAGUAACGACAGGCUCAUUGCCGUCGUUGUAGCACCAGUGGGCUACUCCAGCAGGCAAAGCAAUAACAUCGCCCUUACGGAAAUGACGAAUCUUCUGGUGCUGAUCACGAACUCUGCUGCUGCCACCUGAUUGCUGAGACUCUUGGAGUGUUUCAGCACAUCCCAGGAGCAAGACCCCUGUCAUUCCUCUACCUGUAUAUACACAAAUUAAUCAUCUCAUAAUCCAAAAUUCCAAGCACAUUAACUCACAUAUACAGCUUGAAUAUAUAAUUGCAGCUUUUGAAUAUUUAAUUUUACCCUGGACAAUGUAUAAGAGUUGAGGAGCAUUGCUAUAGGAUGGCAAUAGAAGGCCAUUGGGAUGAAUGGUACGUCUAACAACAGCAACACCAGCGCAUUGGAACUGAUCACGGUUAGGAUUCCACGACUCAACCAAACCAGCUUCGGUCUGAAUACGUUUAUCGGGUUCGAGGGCAUAGAGUUUAUUGAGUUGGCACCCAUUACCCUGCUGAAAUUCACGGCGAGCUAGAGAGCCAUGGAAGAGAACAAGUAGGAAGAAAGAAAGAGAGAGCAGCGAAGAAGGCUGAACCAUAGUGGCAGAGAGGAGGGGAUAGGUGGUUCUGGGAUGGAAGUGGCGAAUGGAAGGGGUUGGUAUUUAUAGAGGAAGAAGGAGAUGCAAAAGAAAGAUGAUCGUAAGGUUUCUUUGGUCACUCUCUUUGAUUUGCAUGGCUACUUCAUCUUAACUUCUUACACCUAAUAAAGUCAGAUAGGGCAGGUGUAUCAAAACUCCAUAGAAGAAUACAAAAGUUUGUGAAUGGGGAAAAAGAAAAAAGAAGAAGACAACAUUGGAUUGCAAAAACCAUUACCACAACACCAAAAAGUGAUCAAGUGUCUAAUAACUAUGGUUGAAAUUUAGCAAUUGAAGUGUCAUGUAGGCAUAACUAUGGUUGAUUUAGUACUUUAACUCGAUGUUUGAUCUUUAACGUCCAAGUAAAGAGAGGUUAGGGACAAAUGUUAGAUUUCUUUUCUUCUUUUGCAUUUAAUAUAACGCUCUUUUGCAUCUCCAUGCCCAAUUGUUUAAAUCACACAUACAGAAGAUGAUCUAUCCAGUGGAGUCAAUGUUUGAUCUAUUUCGUUAUAUUUACAGAUUGAUAAUUUAAUAUACUUUACUUAAACAUAUUUUGUUGUCUAUAAUAUUUACUUAAACAAAUCUCAUACUAUAAUUCAAACUGUAUGAUACUUUACUAGUAAUACUUUAAGAACACAAAUCCUAUAUAUAUACACUUAAAACUCUUAUUAAUUCGAAAAGAUAUACACUUGCUCAAAUAACCCUAGCUAGUUGUAACCAGAGUUACAACCACAUAGAUGCCAACAAAUAAAGACCAGCCUGGAGGGCAAUUAAUGACCAUCGUCCCCUAAAUGUCCCUUCAGGUACCAAGUCUGUCUAAGCUUCAACAUUAAUGGGUGUUAAACCCUCAUAAUCUUUGUUCUGUUUAUAGUAAGUAUCACUGUUGGUCCUUCAUAAGAUUUCUUCAAUCUAACCACCUCCUUAUCCUCUAAUAUUUUUUCUCUUUUUAAAAAAAAUAUGUAGUUCUUUUGUUUAGCUUUGAAUUUAUUUGGUGCAUGGCUUAGAAAGAAAUUAAGAUUAGUAAAUGCAAGUAUUGAUCCUCUGUCAUUUCAGGACUAUGAGAAUUAAUUGACGCAGCGGCAGUAGUUUCUUUUGUUUUUUCGUUGUCUCCCUCUCUUUGUUCUUGUUAAUGCCGAAUUAAUUCACGAGGUUAUUAUAGUUAAAUAUGAUAUCAAGUGAAAAAUAAAAGUAGAAAAACAAAAGCAAAAUGACCAUAGAAGCUGGUAGAUGGAAGAAGAGUCAAGAAAGCAUGGUGAACGCAUCACUUGCAUUCUCUACUACAAAUCCAGUUAUCGGUGACAAUUUUGUUUCUGCCACCAGAAUAAUUGUCACAAAUACAACAUAAUAUGUGACAUUACAUUUUAGGAUUAAGUAUUAUUUAUCGCUGCAGUUUGGUCUAAUACACAAAUUGAUUCUUAUAUUUUUUUAUUAUAUUAAAAUUUAGAACGUUUAAAUCAAAAAAAUUUACCCUAAAAACUUUUUCAGCGCAAAUAUAUAGUUAAAUUAUUUAAAAUACGUAAUCUAAACCCACAUUUAAUAAAUAACUUUUUAUUUUAGCUUAUGUGGCUAAUAGUAGACCCAUUAAAAACAUUAAAAAUAUGAAAAAAAGAAUAUUUAGAUCCAAAUUGAGAUAGUGAUCACGGUUCAAUUAACUGAAUCGUCGGCCAUUUUUAAGAACUUAAUAUAUAUAUCAAUUUUUAAAUUUAUGAACCUUAAAUCUAAAAUAUUAAUAUUGGCUAACCUGUAUUUACAGUACGGUUAACCAGAUUUUUAAUUUUUAAUAAAUAUUAAAUUUUAUAAUUUUUUUAAUAAAUUUUUAAUAUUUUAGCAUCCUUUUUCUUUCCUCAAUUAAUAAAUUAAUAAUAACAACGAUAAUAAUAAUAUAAUUAAUAUACUAUUUUUUUAAAAUUAGACUUAUUUUUUAAUAAGAAUUUUUUACUAAUUAAUAUAUUAAAUAUAUUUAUAUAAAUUAAUACUUCAGUAAUUUAUUAACUAAUUUAUUAAUUAAAUCUAUAUAAGCUAAUAUUAAAUAUAUAAUGGAUACAAGCAUUCCACAUAAUCAAUAAUUAUAAUAAAUAUAAUAAUUCUAUAUAUAUAUAUAUAUAAUUUCAGUGGUUAACUAAAACGUUGGUCUUUUAAUAUAGAGAAUCGAAACUAAAAUUGAAAACUGAAAAUUUCUAAAAUGAAAAAUAAAGUUGAAACGUUGGUUCAGUUAAUUUAUUUUAUCAAUUUAAUUUUUUUUUUUUUAUUCAGACAGAAUUCCUUCGAUUUUUUUUAUAUCACCCCUAGUGGUGAUAUGCCCUCUCUCUAUUUACUGUGUGAGUCGAUAUUUUAACAUUCCUUUUAAAUUAUUAUAUAUAUAUAUAUAUAUAUAUAUAUAUAUAUAUAUAUAUAUAUAUAUAUAUAUAUAUAUAUAUAUAUUAUAUUAAUUUUUGAAAUAAGUUUUGAAAUAAGUUUUAAUAUAUUUAUAAAUUCUAUAAUACAUUGUUAGAAGUUAUAUUAUUGAUAAAAUCAUAAUUCAGUGAUGGUUCAAGUUAAAUAUAUAUAAUAUUAUAUAAAAGAAUAAAAGUAUAAAUAUGUGUAUUANNNACAUAUAUACCUCAAGUUAAAAGUGCUAAACUUUUAUUAAUUUGACUGAAUUUGAUAACUUGAUACAGAAUGGGAUUAUGGUUGUCAUAGAAGCAACUAAUUCUUUUGUAAAUUUUGAAAUGGCAGAGAAAGGAAAAGGAAAAGAAGAAAGAAGAAGAAAAAGUAGGAGAAGGAAGAGAGAUAAAAGAGAAAAGUGGUAUUUUUUGAAAGUAAUUACUAUAUAUCUUUCAUAUUUUUUUUAUAUUACACUACUUACUCCUUAAUAUUUAAGAUUAGAUUUUUUUAUUUUUCUAUUUUAUAAUUUUAUAUUAAAGUCUAUUUUAUCGGAAUUUCUGCUAAAGAAUUGUUAACUAGGUUUAGUUUUAUACUAUUUGUCCACUAUGUUUUUUGUGUAAUAUACAUGCCUCCUUUAUUUUAUUUAUUGUAUUAAUUUUUUUUUUUGUAUUUUAAAAAUCAAUGCAAUUAAAAGACUAAAUUGAUAAAAAAAUAAUUUAAUUUUUAAAUUUUUUAUCAAAGUUAUGAUUUUAGUGUAACAAAAUUAAUAUUAAGGAUAAUAUCUAUUUUAUUUUAAUAAUUUAAAGUUAAAUUAUAUAAUUUUUUAAUAUUUUGAUAAAUAUAAUUAUUUUUAAAACACUUAAAUUUUAUUAGAGUUUAAUUAUGCCAAAAUUAGAGUAAUUAAAGAACACUAGUUAAUUAUUUGUGUACGAACACAACUUGAUUUUUACAUAAAAGUUAGACAAGAGAAUUCUAGUGUAACAAAUAAACUAUAAGGGACAUGUGUAUAUUACAUAAAAGAUCAAGGGGCAAAUGACAAUUGUUUAACAGAAAGUUUGACCAAAAGAAUUUUUAGUAUAAAAUAGAGAGAUGAAAUAUAUAUUUAUUAAAUAUUAAGAGGUAAUUAAUAUGAAAAUUUAUAAAGACAAAUAGUAAUUACAAAUGAAUGAGAAUUGUAUACAUUAAACCACCAUUAGCCACAUCAACACUAUUAAUUUCUCUGUUAUGUUGAGAGGUUUGAAUUGGAGGCUUCUACAAUUUAAGGGUAAAUAUGCUAUUCUCACCAAAUAUUAGCAGCAAAAAUGCACAUUUUCCUCUACUUUUAACUGGUCACUAUAUUAAAUUAAUUUUAUACUAAAAACUUCUUUUGUUAAAAUUUCUAUUAGGAAAUCGUUAAUUAGGUUUGGUUUUAUACUUUUUUUUUUUGUAAUAUACAAAUUGCACAUGUAUUUUAUUUUUACACUAAAAUUUCCUUGUAGUUUGAAAGUCAACGUAAUUAAGGAUCUAAAUUGAUUAAAAAAUAUAAUUUGAUCCUCAAACUUUUUAUCAAAGUUAUAAUUCUACUGAACAAAAUUAAUAAUAAUAAUAAUACUAUCUAUUUUAUUUUAACAAUUUCAAAUUAAAUUAUAUGAAUCUUCAAUAUUUUAAUUAAUAUAAGUACUUUUAAGAUAUUUAAAUUUUACUAAAAUUUAAUUAUGCUAAAGUUAGAAUAAUUAAAGAACACUAAUUAAUUGUUUUCGUACAGACACUAAAAUUAAUUUUUAUAUAAAAAUUAGACAAGAGAAUUUUAGUAUAAGGUCAAUUUGUAUAUUGCACUAAAGAUUAAGGAAAAAAUAGUAUAAAACUAAAUUUAGUUAACGGUUGGUUAACAAAAAUUCUAACCAAAGGGGUGUUACACAUGGUGCCCUUUCCUUAGCUUCCUUAAUCACACAAAUAUUUUCCUAAUCUUAAAAACAAAAGAUCCUAAGACAAUGAAAGAGUCCAAACCCAUCAGUCUCUGCAAUGUGUUUUAUAAAACUGUGUCUAAAGUGAUUACUAAUAGAACCAUGAAAGUACUACCUAGUGUUAUUUCUCAAACUCAAAGUGGCUUUGUGCAGGGGAGAUUGAUUACAUAUAAUAUUCUUAUUGCUUUUGAGUUCUUUCAUCACAUGAAAUGAAAUGCAUGAACAAAGGUAAAAAAAAAGUCAGAUGGCUCUAAAACUUAACACGACUAAAGCAUAUGAUAGGGUUGAAUGAAUUUUACGGAGAAAGUUAUGCAUAAUAUAAGAUUUCUUGUUGCCUUGAUUGAGCUGACCAUGAAGUGCAUUAGAUUUGUUUUUUUUACUGUCAUGAUUAAUGGCUUUUUUCAUGAUUUCUUUAAGCCCUAAGAAGGGAAUAAGACAUGGCGAUCCUCUAUCCUCCUUAUCUAUUUAUAAUGUGUGUUGAGGCUUUUUUAGGAUUGCUUUAUAAUGCUGAGAGGGACGAGAAAACUCAUGGUGCUUGAGUUGCUAGAGUUGCUCUCACCAUAUCUCAUUUAUUUGUUGCAAAUGAUUCAAUAGUCUAUGCUAGAGCAAUUCAAUAGGAAGGGGAAUCCAUUAUGUGAUACAAACCAAACUAGCACAACGAAUCCUACUCUAACAAAGAGUCUUGAUGAUGCAAACCUUACUAGCUCAAGGAAUUCUAAUCCAAUAAGGAGUCCUGACUCAACUGGGAAUCCUAAUCCUGUAAGGAGUCCUGAUAAUAUUAGGAGUUCAAGAAUCCUAAUUCGGAGUUCAAGCAAUAAAAAGAAUCCUAAUUCAACUAGGAGUCAUAGUUCGAUUGAAAUUGCAAGUCAAUGAGCUUAUCGAAGUCAUUUUGGCUAAGGACACAUCAAGACUUAAAAAAUUGGAUUUAAGUUCAAGGCUUGUUAAUCUAAUUCAGUUUAUUGGACUUGAAUGAAUUUAAUUGGCUUAAAAUGACCAAAAGAAGUUGAAUUGGAGCAUAUGACAACUCUGGGCCUAACUUGGCUUAUGUUAUGAGGCCCAUCUAUAUGACUUAUGUAAAUUAGGAUUUUAUGGCUUAUUUUGGGUGGCCACACAUGUAUUUUAACAUAAUUAGAACUUUGUUUAAGUUAUCUCUUUUAGUUAGGAAGGUUAUAUUUAUCCUAGAUUAGAUGUAAAUCCUUAUUAGUGGUUAUAUUUAUUCUAGAUUAGAUAUAAAUCCUUAUUAGUUAAGUAAGAGUUCUAUUCUUACUAAGACUUUGGAUAUGUCUUUAAAGCAUGUCAAAUUCGUAUGCCUUUGGCAGAUUAUAAUUAAUUACAGUUUUGUACUUCCUUUCAAAUCAAAAUUACUUGUAUCUUGUGUACUUAUUGAAUGUAAAACUUACUUAUCAAGGAGUUGAUAUAUCUUUGUGGCGUACUUAGGAUUGGGGUUUAAGGGAUUUAGUUUUCCUUAGGUUCUAAUUUUUUAUUAUCUUUCUAAGAGAUCUCUCUUCUAAUCUUUCUUAGAGGUUAAACCGAAUUGGUUCUUGGAGUUUUUAUGUUAAUAUGUUGGGGGUCUGCAAUUCAAAAGUAUUAGAGGGCAUCUGGUCUGGUGAUAAACUUAGAGAAUUCGGUGGUGGUGUUUAGCAUUAAUGUGAGCAUGGUUAGCAGGCACCAAAUUAGCAAUUGCUUGGGAGUCCAGCUUGUGAGUAAAUUUGAUAAGUAUCUUGGAUUACCUACAGAGCUAGGGAAAGUAAAGAAGCAGAUUUUUGGGAUGCUGUCUGAUCGGGUUUGGAAGAAAUUAUGUAGAUGAAAUUAGAAUGCCUUGUCACGACCCCACCCGUGGGCCCGUGACCGGCACUAGGGAAUGGGUAAAGAGGUAAAAAUUUUGAGAAAGAAAGAUUAAGGUCCCUGGUCGAGCAUUGCUCUCGGGGCGCCAGUCUUAUUGGAUUAAGAGAGCCGAAUGGCUACUAGAUUUCUUAUUUGGAUAUUUAAGUGACCAGACUGGAGGUAAGGUCCCUGGUCGAGCUUUGCUCUCGGGGCGCCAGUCUUAUUGGAUAAGAGAGCCAAAAGGCUAAGGCUGAGAGUUAAGUGACCGGACUGGAGGUAAGGUCCCUGGUCGAGCUUUGCUCUCUAGGCCCCAGUCCUGUUGGAAUGAGAGGUUUGAGAUGUUAGAGUUGAGGUUAGUUGAGACAUAAGUGUUGAAAUAAUCGAGAUUUUAGAGUUGGGAUUAGAGUUCUACUGAAGUACUCUGUCCCGUUGCAUGUGGAAUAAAUUUUGUUUAAGCAUGGCAUGACACGUAUGGUUCGCGUGAUUUACUAAUUAUUUUAAAAUUAAAUGAAUGUGACAUUGAGAUAUUUGAAACUGUUUUAGAUAUAUGAUUUUAACUCACUCUCGAGACUGACAGUCUCCAUUUAUGUUGUUUUUCAGAUUCGUGACUGUUAGUUCUCUCGCGACUCUUAUUCAGUAACCCGACUCCUUCAUCAUCGGGUGAAGUAUUUGAUUUGGUAUGUAAAAUGGUAAAUCUUAGAUUCUCCGCAGUAGUAAAUAGUAGAUGUAUCAGUUGUAAAUUUUCUGAGCUUCGGGUCUCGCCUAGUUUUUCUGGUAGACCGAAGUAAUUUUGUAAAGUGUAACUAUUAAGAUAAAUUGUGACUUUAAUAAUAUUAAUUUGAGAUGAGAUUUGUUUAAAUCAGUGAGUGUCAGGCUUACUACGGGUUUCGGUGGCCUUAAGCCUACCCAUUCCCUAGUGCCGGUCACGGGCCCACGGGUGGGGUCGUGACAAAGUUGGUAUCAGAGCUUAGGUUUAGAUUUCCUUCGACCUAAGUUAAGAUUUUUCUUGGUACUGCGGAGUUAGGAUCAUGUCUGUCUUGUUGUUUUCAUUGACUCCAGUGUUUCAGCCUUCACUGUUAGAGAGUCAGUCUUUCCUUUCUUGUAAGCUUGUCUUUGGUGCUGUGCUGAGAAUGAGCUUGUAGCGAUGGGAAGAUCCAGAGCGCGAUAGACUCGUGCUGUUUCUUCAAGUGAUUAGUGCAGUCCGCCUUUAGAAGAUUUGAUUGUUGUUUCGAUGGUGGGCACCGCAGUCAGUUUUAGUGUAGAGCGUGGUUGCAAUCGUGUCAUGGAUUGUCUCGUCAUUGCAUCAGGCAUCGUCUUAUUGAGUAGCGCCGAAAGUAGUGCCUGGGAAGUCGAGUAGAUGUCAGAGCUCUAUGGUUGAGUUUUGGUGAUUGUAAGAAGCUUAAGAAAGGUAGCAGGAGUAUUUUCGGACGCUCAUAAUCCAGAGAAACUUAAGCGAACAUUAUCUAUUUUUCUAAGUAGAACAAGUGUUUUAAAAUACAAUAUUGCGCCCAGUCCCGUAAGAAUGCAUAUGGCAUUUCACUGUUAGGCAUACAUAAAUUCAUUUUAGGACAUGCAUCAUACAUUGUGCAUUGCAACCCUUGGUGAUAGGGGGCAUCAUCACCCUGGCGCGCGAUAUUGUAGAAUUUUAUAUAAAGAAAAAUGGCUAGAGAUUUUACGAUUUUGUAAAAGUAUUUUUCAAGAUAAUAAAGUUUUUAUCAGUGAUGAUUAUAAAGUAAAUAAAUAAGUAAAUUUUUUCAAAGUAAAUAGUGUUAGCUUGAGAAUUCUCUGGAUGACGAGUUGAGUUGCUGAGAGAGUAAGUCUGUGGAGCUGUAGGCCCCAUGUUAGAUUAUAAGGGAGGCUUUUGGAUUUCAGUCAAGGAGGAAUCUUGUGUCAGGAUGGCAUGGGUUAUGUCGGUUGAUGCGAUCAGAUGGAUGUUAUGUCAUAAGUGAUGUGACUCGGUAAGAAAAUAAGGUUAUGGAGACCCUUGGUUUUGUCGGCAGGUUGGUGAGGUGGCAUGUAAGUUGGACUUGCCGCCAAGUAUUAGUAAUGUUCUCUGAGGUCAAAUCCAGUUGUUUGUAAGUCUGAGUUGAGGAAGUAUAUUUUCGAUCCUUUGCUCGUGUUGGAUCCUCAGUGUGUGAAUUUAAGUGAAGAUUUGGUUUCCGAGAAGUAGUAAGUGAGGAUCGUGGAUUUUCAGGUUCGCCAGUUUUAUUUAAGGGUUUUGUCGAUGAGUCUUGUGGUUUAGUUUAGUUUCUGCCGAGGAAAGUUCUCUAGAAGCCGGGUUGGAGUUGAGAGGUUCCUAAUUAGUUUCAGUCUUAGAGUGUAGCCCCUUUUCUUUUAAAAUUCGAGGUCGAAUUUUUUUUUUUAAGGGGGGGAGAAUGUAACACCCGGAAUUUUUAUAUAUUUAAUAAUGAGUUUUUAUUUAAGUUAAUUUUAGCUUCAUUAUUAUUGGGUUUAAUUUGAAAUGAUUAUAUUUUGGUUAUUCAAAAUUUUUCCAAAUGCAUAUUUAUAUAAGUAAAAUUAUAUAUUGAAAAAUUUUGGAAGAAAUUAUAAGGGAUGUUUUUAUAAAAGAAUUUUGAGAAAAUUGGUAUUAUAAUUGAUUAGUAGUAUUAAAUUUUAAGUUGGAAAUUGAUUAUUUAAUUUAAUUGUGUGUAGGAUUUAAUUGGAAAUUUAUUUUGGAAUAAGGAUUGAAAGUAUAAUGUUAUUUUUAUGGGGUUUUAAUGGAAAUUUGUGAGCUUGGUAUUUUUGUAAAUAAAUAUGUCGGUCAGGGGUAUUUUUGUAAUUGUGUAUUUUCAAUAAUUCGGAUUUGGCCCAAAUUAAAUAGUUAGGGGCUUAAUUGAAAGGCUAAAAAGAAGUUUGGGGGUCAAAUUGGAAUUCUGCAGGAUGAAAUUGUAAGUAAUUAAGAAAGUUGAGGGACGAAAUUGUAAUAAGGAAAAGUUCAAGGGUCAAAUGUCGAUAUUGAAAGGAAUGGAAGUCGGGGAAGGAAGAGAGGAAGAGAGAGAGAGAGAGCCGAAGAAGAAGGAGGAGCUGCGGUGGCGUGCGUCGUCGGAGCGGCUUCGGAAGUGUGCGGGGCUGGCCGGCGAAGCUGCAGGCGUCAGCGGCGGCAGCGGCAGCGGCACCAGCGGGCGACGGGAGCAGCUCUCGCGCUAGGAGGAAGAUGGCCGAAGCUUCUUUGCCGCCGUGCGGGCGUUUCCGGCGUCGGUGGUCGCUGAUUUUGGUGCCGAUCGACUCCUCUCGGCCUCAGCUUUGUUUUGGCGGCAGCGGUGUCGACAGUGGUGGCCGGAAUCAGAGAUUCACGGUGGAGAGAGAAAAUGGUGGCAGCCGGCAUUUUUGGGCUUUUCCGGCGAGCUCCGGCGGAGGAUGGAUGAUCGGAGGAUGUAUCCCGACUCUCCUCAGCUCAAGCUUCGCGAUGGCACUGGUUUCGUGGCGAUCGGGCUUCGUUUGUGAAUCGACGGUCGAGAUCGUCCGCAAAUCUCUCCGGAUGAUCGGGUGUCAGAUCGGAAAAUCGGAAGCAGGGAUCGUCAUCAGCGCGUCGUUGUGAGUCUGAUGGUGUGUUCGGAUCGUCGAUCGGACUCCGGCGGCUGGAGGCGAGUCGACCAAGCGAUCGAACGUCUCGGUAAAUUUCUUUGGCCCGUUAAUUUUAGAAAUCCUUGGUUUAAUUUGUGUCUAUGGUUUAUAUUGUGUACUUGAUGAUAUUUGUGAGUCAUAAAUAUUUGUCUGUCAGUUGGCCUGCCAUAGUCGUGUUUUUGUGCUGUGUGGCGGAGUCGGGAAAUAGUGAAGUUUGGGGACCCGACUCCCGUUGUUUUAAUUGUUGGUUAUUUGGAGUGUUUUUCUGGCAGGUCCUGGACCCGUUUUUACGGGGGGUAAUGUUCGUGUUGUAGAGGAGGUUCUGCCGAAUUUUCGGUAGUUCCCAAGUCGAGAUUCUUAGACAGUUAGUUCUAGGAGUCUAGACCUAGGGUCUAUUGUAAUUGUUUCAUCGUUUUGAUAAAUUAUUUUCCGUGAUUAGAUGAUCUGUCUGUUCGGCUCGCUCCUACCGAGGCACCUAAGCUGAGCUAGGAGGUCGCAAAUCUGUGAGUAAAGUCAUAUAUCGUUUACGCACGUGUCAUGCAUAAAUUUGAUUGCUACUGUGAACNNNNNNNNNNNNNNNNNNNNNNNNNNNNNNNNNNNNNNNNNNNNNNNNNNNNNNNNNNNNNNNNNNNNNNNNNNNNNNNNNNNNNNNNNNNNNNNNNNNNNNNNNNNNNNNNNNNNNNNNNNNNNNNNNNNNNNNNNNNNNNNNNNNNNNNNNNUAUUUGGAUAUUUAAGUGACCAGACUGGAGGUAAGGUCCCUGGUCGAGCUUUGCUCUCGGGGCGCCAGUCUUAUUGGAUAAGAGAGCCAAAAGGCUAAGGCUGAGAGUUAAGUGACCGGACUGGAGGUAAGGUCCCUGGUCGAGCUUUGCUCUCUGGGCCCCAGUCCUGUUGGAAUGAGAGGUUUGAGAUGUUAGAGUUGAGGUUAGUUGAGACAUAAGUGUUGAAAUAAUCGAGAUUUUAGAGUUGGGAUUAGAGUUCUACUGAAGUACUCUGUCCCGUUGCAUGUGGAAUAAAUUUUGUUUAAGCAUGGCAUGACACGUAUGGUUCGCGUGAUUUACUAAUUAUUUUAAAAUUAAAUGAAUGUGACAUUGAGAUAUUUGAAACUGUUUUAGAUAUAUGAUUUUAACUCACUCUCGAGACUGACAGUCUCCAUUUAUGUUGUUUUUCAGAUUCGUGACUGUUAGUUCUCUCGCGACUCUUAUUCAGUAACCCGACUCCUUCAUCAUCGGGUGAAGUAUUUGAUUUGGUAUGUAAAAUGGUAAAUCUUAGAUUCUCCGCAGUAGUAAAUAGUAGAUGUAUCAGUUGUAAAUUUUCUGAGCUUCGGGUCUCGCCUAGUUUUUCUGGUAGACCGAAGUAAUUUUGUAAAGUGUAACUAUUAAGAUAAAUUGUGACUUUAAUAAUAUUAAUUUGAGAUGAGAUUUGUUUAAAUCAGUGAGUGUCAGGCUUACUACGGGUUUCGGUGGCCUUAAGCCUAUCCAUUCCCUAGUGCCGGUCACGGGCCCACGGGUGGGGUCGUGACAUGCCUCAUCAAAAGCUAGCAAAGCAGCGUUGAUAAAAGCUAUGGUGCAUGCGAUGCCUACCUACACUAUCUGGUGCCAAAAACCAUUUGUGACAGAGUACAAGCUUUUAUUGAAAAGGGAUAAGCGACUCCACUAGCUUAGUUUGGAUAAUGUCUACAGCUCUAAGAAACAUGGGGGUCUUGGUUUUAGGAAUUUAGAGUUGUUCAAUAAAGCCUUCCCAUCAAAACAAGGGUGGAGACUCAUGAAAGAUGAAACAUCACUGGUGGCUAGAACUCUGAAGGCGAAACAUUAUCCAAGGUUAGAUUUUCUUAACGCCAGAAAAGGGCCUCGAAGUAGUUUUACUUGGCAAAAUAUUUUUGUUGGCCAAGAUUUGGUAAGACGUGGAACUCAUUUAGAUAGUGGGUAAGCUCACAGCAUUAGAGUUUUUGAGGAUGGAUGGUAAGCAAGAUCUGAUUCUUUUAAAGUAUGGACAUCGAGGAAUGGUAUGGAUGUUGAGCUAAGGGCACAGGACUUAAUGAAUGAGACGUAGAGAGUGGAAUAACACGUUCAUUGACUUAAACUCUGUUCCCCUUCCCCAAGAUGCGUGCAAAUCAAAAAAAUCCAAUUAGCAAAUUCUAUUAAGAGACUUUAAAGUGGCAAGAGAGGUGUGGUUUGCAUCUUGUUUGGGAUUGAAUGUGCAGGGAUUUAUUGAUGCAUCACUAUGUGUUGGUUUGAGUAUAUUUUGAGGCACUUGGACGAGGAGGUGUUUGGGUUUAUUUUGCUUAUUUUUUGGGCUUCGUGGUACCCUAGGAAUGUAUUUAUUUUUUAGCAGAAACCCAUGACCUGUAGCAAAAUUCUCAACUUGAGUUAUAAAGUGCAUGCAGACAUCGCCAUCGCCAUCGCUAAUGGAAGUCAUGAGCAGAGCCGGACAACUGUUUCGCCGAUAUGGACAAGGCCAGUUGGAGAGAGACAUAUUUGGAUGGAGGAAGUGCCCAGAGUGCGUAAAACAUAUUUUGGCUGAUGCCUUUCGUUAACUGAUGCUUUUGUUUUUCUAUCAAAAGAAAAAGACACCUCUUUUCAAAAGAAAAUAUUAUAAGAUGUUAUUUGUUCUUUUAUGUUUUAAUUGUUAAACAAUUUUUUCAUCUUUGAUCUUUCAAUUGUAAGAUCUCAUGUUUGCUUACAGAAAUAUUAUCAGAUUUAUUAUGAAAUUUAUUUUGUUUAUUUUUAUAGCUAGCAAUAAAUAGAUUUAAUUAUUAUUAAAGAAAUUCAAGACUCAUAUAUAUUAUAAAACUAUAUUAAUUUUCCAUUAAUAAUUUUAUUUGUUUUAAGAAGAUAAACCUUAGCAAAUACUUUUUAAUAUGAACAAUUUUUUUUAUUUCUACUUUAAAAAUUAUAAAAGUAAAGUAUUUUGUUAGAAGUAUAUUGGAAUUUUGAUUUUACAUAUAAAAUAAUUAUAAAAAAUAUAAAGACAUUUUUUUUUUUUUUUUGUAAAAGUUCUGAUUAGUGAAAGUGUCUAUAGAAUUAAUUUUCUAGAAUUAGACUUAAUUAUGCUUAGUAAUUCAAAAUCUUAAUAAAAUUAGAAUAAUACCCACCCAAUGCAUGUUUAAUUAUAUAUUUUCAUUAUUAUUUUUUGUUAUGAAUAUUUUUAUAUUAUUUAAUUAUCUAUUCAGAAUAUUAUUUUUGAUUAUAAAUAAUAUAAACAUAUGAUACUAAAUAAAUGUAGAUAAUUAUCUAUAAUUAUUGAUUUCAAUAAUGAUUGAAUCAUUCGUUAAAUAAAAAUUUGUUCAGUUUUUUUUUUGUUUCUUUUACUAAUAAUAUUCAUAUAAAUCUAAAUAACUAGGAAUAUUUUAUAAAAUUGAAAAAAAAAAACUAUUAAAAAUAUAAAUCAAACCAAAUUAAAUAUUUCAAUAUAAUUUGGUUUAAUAUUUAUUGUUUAAAUAAUCUUUCAGAGUUUUUUGGUUGAUUUAGUAUUCUCUAUUUUUAAGUACAUAAUUCAAUAGUAUUAAUUUACUUUACAUGUAUAAAAAUAUAAAUAUUUUAUUUUAUUAAAUUGCAUAAAAAAUAUAAUCAAAAUUAAUUUUUAAUAAAUAUAUUAAAAAUAAUUUAUUUAUUAAUAUAAAAAUUGAAUUCUAUACAUUAACAAAGGCUUUUUAUUUGAGACUAUAAUAUGCUGCAAUAAUUUUGAUAAAAUAUAUGUAAUAUAAAANNNNNNNNNNNNNNNAUGGUCUAAUGAAUAUAAAUAUGAUGAUAAAGAAAAAAGAAUAAUUCUUUAAUUAAUAGAUAAUUAUUUUAUUAUGAAAAUUAAAAAAGUUAAAUAAUCAAUUAAAAUUUAAAAUUAUAAAGAAGAAUUUCAUAAAAAAAGGAUUAUAAAAUAAUGUAAAUCUAUAAAAAAACUUAUUUUACAUAGUAAUACAAAAUUUAAAGGAAUUAUCUAAAGUUGAAGUUACAAAAAGAAUUUAAAAAUUUUAAAAAUAUGAAAUAACAAAAUAUUAUAACUAAGAUGAUAAAUUUAUAAUAAAAUAUUCUCUAAAAUAAUAAAAAUAUGUUAGAAUUUAUUGAUUCUCUAAAAAUUAAAAAAAUUAACUUAAGAGUGAUACAAUAUGCUAUGUAGGAGAAACGAAAGAGGUGAAAUUCUUUUUCCUUUCUAUAGGGACCAGGAGAUUGGAUCUAGCCGUAAGAAGAAUGCUUGGCUGAUAAAUAACUCAUUUUUUGGUUUUCGACCCCCUCAGUCACUACAAACGCCCCUGAUCAGUGCAAUGGGAUGUGUCUAUUUAUCUAUCUCUUGACUCGAAAUGGAAACAGGUUUGAAAAAGGAUCUUAGAGUGUCUAAGGUGGGGCCGGGAGGGUCUGGUCUCUUAACGCCUUCUUUUUUCUUCUCAUUGGAGUUAUUUCAAAAAGACUUACCACGGUAAGGAAGAAGGGGAGAACAAGCACACUUAGAGAGCGCAGUAUAACAAAGAAUUCUAUGCUGCGUUCGAGAAGGAUGAAUCACUCCCGAAAAGGAAUCUAUUGAUUCUCUCCCAAUUGGUUGAACCGUAGGUGCAAUGAUUUACUUCACGGGCGAGGUCUCUGGUUCAAGUCCAGGAUGGCCCAGCUGCGCCAAAGAAAAGAAUAGAAGAAGUAUCUGACUCCUUCGUGCAUGCUCCACUUGGCUCGUGGAUAUAGCUCAGUUAGUAGAGCUCUACUCUUGCAAUUGGGUCGUUGCGAUUACGGGUUAGAUGUCUAAUUGUCCAAGCGGUAAUGAUAGUAUCUUGUACUUGAACUGGUGGCUCACUCUUUCUAAAUAAUGGGAAAGAGGACCAAAACAUGUCACUAAAAGACUCUACUGAGACAAAGAUGGGCUGUCAAGAACGUAGAGGAGGUAAGAUGGGCAGUUAGUCAGAUCUAGUAUGGAUCGUACGGGGACAAUAGAUGGAGUCGGCGGCUCUCCCAAGGUUCCCUCAUCUGGGAUCCUUAGGGAAGAUGAUCAAGUUGGCCCUUGCAAACAACUUGAUGUUUAAGAAUCACCGCCAAUACCUCGGUGUAGGUAAGUCUGGUAUAAUCAUUUGUUCCAUAGUCUAGGGCUAUUUACAACUAGCCAAUUAUGAAUUUUCAGAUGUACGUACUAGUACUAGCAAAUGCAUCAAAGAUGUAGUCAUCGAUUCUCCCGAGAUGCCACAAUUACCGCAAGCAAACAUAUUAAUGACGAAGAACAUAUUUUUGCUAUGCUACUAAUACUUAUACUUACUCUGCUAUUCUACCCAAGUCUGACUGAGGAAGAAUUAGGGGGGUAUAAAACAAAAAAAGAUUCGGUCUGGGGCAUGUGGAAUGAAUCUACCAUCGAUAAAAAAAAGAAUAAAAAAAGAAAACAUUCUAUUUCGACAAAAGAUCCACACCCAAGUUCCAUAGCUUUGGGUCCGCUAUCCCGAUCAUGAUUUUUCUACCUCUAGAAGGAAAGAUCCUUUCCUUUUUGGCCAGUUAUGGGCAAGGAGGGAUUUGAACCCCCUGACAUUGUGGUUCGUAGCCACGUGCUCUAAUCCUCUGAGCUACAGGCCCCACCCCCUCUCCAUUGGAUCUGUUCCCAGGAGUACCCUAACAAAGGAACCUUUCCUUUCCCCAGCCAUUUCGGGUUAAGAAGAUGCGAAAGUGCCUCUCUCUCUCUAUAAGAACGGGGCGUUUCGAGGUAUGAAGUGGGAGAAUGGAAUUUCAUAAUUGGGGUUUUGAAUAAGACAACCUUUUCAUUUUUUUUUCGUAUUGGAAAAGUAAUAAGAAUGAGGGAUGUUAAGCUUUUUAUCAUCCUGGAGUCGAGCUAUUUUUUCGCAUGACCUCCCCUAUAAUAUCUUCACCGCAGUAGAGUUUAACUACCAAGUUCGGGAUGGAUUGGUGUGGUUCCUCUACGCCUAGGACACCAGAAUAUCGAACCAUGAACGAACAAAGAAAUGAGAGAAAAUCAUAUUUGCUAGUGAUUGUAAGGCCCUAAUUCUUGACUAGGGGGGACACCAAAGGCCUCUGCCCUUCCAUUCUUGGAUCAAUAGAAAGGGAGGGCAAAGCUUUUGGCUUUUUCAUGUUGUCAAAGAGUUGAACAAUAAAAAUAGAUGGCGAGUACCUAAUCAAAUUGAUCGGGUCAUGUAGGAACAAUGUUCAAGUCUACCGGUCUGUUAGGAUGGCUCAGCUACAUACAUCACUGCACUUCCGCUUGACACUUAUCAUAAUGAUAAACGGCUGGUCUUGUUGUGACCUUCUUUUGAAUUCUCAAAACUUCUAUCACUCCACCCCUGCAGGGGUAGAGAACCCGUUGCUGUCUCGGCUGUGCUACCGAAGUUUCUAGGGAAGUCAGAAUAGGAGAGCACUCAUCUUGGGGUGGGCUUACUACUUAGAUGUUUUCAACAGUUAUCCACUCCAUACUUGGCUACCCAACGUUUACCGUGGGCAUGAUAACUAGUACACCAGAGGUGCGUCCUUUUCGGUCCUCUUGUACUAGGGAAAGGUCCUCUCAAUGCUCUAACGCCCACACUGGAUAUGGACCGAACUGUCUUACGAUGUUCUGAACCCAGCUCACGUACCGCUUUAAUGGGAGAACAGACCAACCCUUAGAACAUACUACAGCCCCAAAUGGCGGAGAGCUGACAUCAAGGUGCCAAACCUUCGCGUCGAUGUGAACUCUUGGGAAGAUUAGCCUGUUAUCCUUAGAGUAACUUUUAUCCGUUGAGCGAUGCUCUUUCCACUCGGCACUGUCGGAUCAUUAAGGCCAACUUUCGUCUCUGCUCGACGGGUGGGUCUUGCACUCAAGCUCCCUUCUGCCUUUGCACUCGAGGGCCAAUCUCCGUCCGGCCCGAGGAAACCUUUGCACACCUCCGUUAUCUUUUGGAAGGCCUAUGCCCUAUAGAAACUAUCUAUUUGAGAUUGUCCCUUGGCCUGUAGGUUCUGACACAAGGUUAGAAUUCUAGCUCUUCCAGAGUGGUAUCUCACUGAUGGCUCGGACCCCCCCGGAAGGGGGCCUUCUUCGCCUUCCACCUAAGCUACGCAGGAAAGGCUCAAAGCCAGUCACGGGGAACAAUGAAGCUUCAUAGGGUCUUUCUAUCUAAGUGCAGGUAGUCCACAUCUCCAUAAACAUGUCUAUUUCACCGAGCCUCUCUCCAAGGCAGUGCCUAGAUCGUUACGCCUUUCGUGCGGGUCGGAACUUUCUCAACAAGGAAUUUUGCUACAUUAGGGCUGUUAUAGUCACGGUCGCCGUUCACCGGGGCUUCGGUCACCGGCUCCCCUGUCAUCAGGUCACCAACUUCCUUGACCUUCCGGCACUGGGCAGGCGUCAUCCCCAAUACAUGGUCUUACGACUUUGUAGAGACCUGUGUUUAUUAUAAACAGUCACUAGGGCUUGGUCACUGCAACCCCCUUUGUGAGGAGGCACCCCUUCUUCCGAAGUUACGGGGCUAUUUUGCAGAGUUCCUUCAAGAGAGUUGUCUCGUGCCCCUAGGUAUUCUUUACCUACCUACCUGUGUCGAUUUCGGGUACAGGUACCCUUUUAUUGAAGGUCGUAUGAGCUUUUCCUGGUAGUAUGGCAUGGGUUACUUCAACGCUGUAGUGUCUGGUACUCGAACAUUGGCUCGAGGCAUUUUCUCUACCCCUUCUUAUCCUGAAAAAGCAGGGACACCGUGCGUCCUUGAACCGAUUACCAUCUUUCGGCUAACCUAGCCUCCUCCGUCCUCAAGACCAAUAAGGGGUAGUGUAGGAAUAUUCAAUUGUUGUCCAUCGACUACGCCUGACUCACCCACUGUGGACGAACCUUAGGUGAUAUAUAUAUAUAUAUAUAUAUAUAUAUAUAUAUAUAUAUAUAUAUAUUGAACUUAGAAUUAGACUCCUGCUACAUGAAUUAUAAUUAAUAAAUUAAAUUACUAAAUAAAUAAAUUAACGUAAUUAACUAAAAAAUUAAUGAGACUUUACCAAUAAUUAAUUUAAUAAAAAUUAAUAUUGAUAAUUAAUAUAAUAAUAAAUAAUAUUAAUAAUUAAUAUGAUAAUACUGGAAAUCAUUAAAUUCGUCAAUCCCUUUUAUUUUGUUCUUUUAUGAAAAAUUGGCCGGUCGUUGUAUGUGAUAAUUAUACUAUAUUGAUCAUUCCUUAUCUAAUGAUUAUCAAUCCGUGCAUAAAAAAUUAAUUAUGAGUAUAAAAACCUAUUUAUUGAACUUUUAGUUUAAAAUAAUUAAGUCUAAAGAAGAUAAGGAACUUUAUUAUCUUUUAUAAAAAUUCUACUUAUUGAGAGUGUCUAAAAUUAGAUUUAAUUAUAUUAAAUAAUUAAAAAUAGUUAACUUCUAGAAUUAAUUUUAUACUAAUAAAUUAUUAAUUAUUAAUAUUAAGUUAUAAAUAACUAAUUAAUUUUUUAACUAAAGGAUUACUUACUAAGUUAAUCAGUAAAUUUGUCUAUCACUCUUUUUUCAUAUUAGAAGUUCUCUGUAGAGGUCAUCAAUUGUAAUAAUUUUAUAAAUUAUUUCCCUUUUUCUUACUGAAGAAAUAUAUUAUUGGUUUAAAAAAAUUAACUUUUUAUGACUUAUGAAGUAUAAUAUUUAUGAUGUAUAAAAUUUUGGAUUCAUCUACUUAUUGGUAAGUAGAAUUAAUUUUAUUAUUUUGAUACUUUCUAGUAAUAAAACAUUCCUUCUCCAAUAAAAUUCAUUCUUUCUUAAUUCUUAUUUUAAUAAAAAUUCAUGUUUCUUACUUUUCUAUAUUAAAUUUUUAACUUAUUCUUCAAUUAUGAUUUUAAUAUGACUGUUAAUAUUAAAAUGCAUAAAUCAAUUAAGGUAAUUUAGUCAUUUACUAAUUUAAUUUAGUAAUUAAUGAUUUAUUUAGUAUAAAUUUAAUUCUAGAAAACUAUAUUAGAAUUUUUAAUUAAAUAAUCUUUAUAAUUCUUUGUAAAACAUGAAAAUUGCAAGUUUCAAGACUUUAAAUUUGAGAACUUAAAUUUUCAUGAAAGAAAGAGAAAACAUAAUUCAAAUAACAAAGUAUUUUUUUCUCUUUGAUUUUUCAUUUGAAAUUAAUAUUUUCAUUGAAAACGACAACAAAUUAGAAAGUAUGUAAUAGUUCAAAAAUAAUUAUAAAUGAGAGGCUCCAAAUAAUCUAAAGUCAAAACAGCCAGUAUUUUGAAUAAGAAACUCUCUAAGGAAAAAUAAUUUGGCAAUUACAUCUUUAUUGAUGGGAUGCUUAAUAAUUGGAUAAAAUUUAACUGAGUAAUUUGGAAUUUGGAAUUAUGGAUUUUCUUUUGUAUAAAUUAAUCAUCUUCACAAGUUGGAUUAUAAAUAAAUUUCAAGUAUAUAGUCUCUAUUAUAAGCAUGUUUUAUAUUGCUAAUUUUAAAUUUUAAUUUAUAUACUAUAAAGCCUUUUUGAAAACUUUAAUAUUGUUACAAAUACUUUCAAUUUGAUUCUAUUAAAAUGUAAUAUAUGAUAUUAAUAUUAUUAUUGACUUUUUAUACUCAUAAAAAUUUUAAAUUUAUAUUAAAUUAUUAUAAUUACAUCAUAUGUAUGGCUAUUUUUUUAGCUAAACGCAGGUAAAAAGAUAUUAGUAAUAUUAAAACUGAAAGUUAGUUUUAUGAUAAAAAAAUUAAAUUUUUCUCUUUAAAAAUUAAAUUAAAAAGAUACUUUUUUCUCUUUCAUUGUAACUAUCUCUAUGGACUCUAAGGAAAUUAAAAUGUCGAUUUUACUCUUAAUCUAAUGUUAAUCGUUUUUGUUUGAAAUAUUAGUUAUAAAUAUAAAUCAAAGUAGAAAGAAUUAUAAAAAUUAUUUAAUAAUUAAAAAUUUUAAUAGAGUUGAAUUUUUAAAAUUAGAUUUAUACUAAAUGAAUUAUUAAUUAUUAAGUUAAAAUAAUAAAUAACUAAAUAAUUUUAAUUAACUAAAAGAUAAGUAAGGGUAAUGACUAACUUUGCCUAUCCCACUUAUUAGCUUUUUCUUUUUUUUUUUUUUUUUUUUUUUAUAUGUACGUUAUGAUAAGUAGAAAGUAUCUUUUUCUGCCAAUCAACUUUUAUGAGUUUACUUUUACAUUUUCUUAAUUCAAAUUUUAAACAAUGGAUCUAUUUAAAAUUUUUUAGUGUUUACUCAGAAUAUCUAUAAUCAAGCAAGAAUGCAGUAAACGGUAAACUCUUCUUAAUAUUGUAUAAUUAUAAGAAUUUGAACUCAUAAACUUUAAUAUCUAUAUUCCAGCAAGGAUGUAGUAAAUGGUAAACUCCUCUUAGUAUGCCUUAAAAUUAGUCAGUGUACUACUAGAUCAAUACCAUAUUGGUGUCAAUAGUAUCUAAUAAUUAAAACAAUAAUAACACAAUAACUCUUUCUUUUUAACUAUGGAUUUAGCAUGUAAGCAUAUAUUUUAUCUUCCUUUCUGUAUUUUCCUUCUCUUUUCUCUCUCCAGCCUCAAUAUCUUUGAUUUGUUCUUAAAUUAUUCAGGUAAAAGUCAGUUAUAAGGAGAGAUCACGAGUCAACCACUAAGUCUUUGGCACAGUAAAAGAGCUUUACGAAAAUUAGAUAGAGCUGUCAAGUUCAAACCUUUAUUUCUCUUUUUUAUAAUAAUAACUAUAAAGAAAAGAUAUGGGUCCAAGUCGUUCUUUGUAAAUAUAAUGUGGCCUUGAUCAUAUUCCUUCUCAUCUUCCGAGUAAGAAUGGGUCUCAUGUUUGGAGAUCAAUUUGCAAGAAUUGGAAUGUUAUCAAAAGCGGAGUGAGAUGGAUUAUUGGUAAUGACAGAAAGGUUCUCUUUUGGCUAGAUCCUUAGAUGGCUAAUAGUAAACCAUUGUUGUUUUAUGCUACUGGCCCGAUGUUUGAGGAAGUCUUAGAGGCAAGGGUCUAUCACUUUGUUAGCUCCAACGACAAUUGGAUUUGGGCUAAGUUUUCUAAGGUCUUGCCAUCUCAAAUCUUUCUCAAAAUUACAAACGUUAAACCUCCUUGUAAUGAGGAUGGUGAUGAUUUUAUGACUUGGGCAUGGCCUAAGAAUGGAAAGUUCUUUGUUGGGACAGCCUAUAACCAAAUGGUGAGCAGUGAAUGGAAUGAGGAAAAUUUCUCAUAGAGGUUGGCAUGGGAUUAGAAAGGGCCUUUAGAGGAUAAAAGUUUUCAUUUGGCUAGCUUGAACAAGAAUUUGACUGCCAAAGUGAAGCUGGUUAGGAGGUAAAUUAAGGAUGUUCCUAUUUUGACAUUUGUGGCAAUGCUGUAGAGGAUAUUCUCCAUGUGUUGCGGGAUUAUUUGGUAGCUAGACAAAUCUAGAAAAGCUUAAUUCCUCCGGAUAGCCAGAUGGCUUUCUUCUUACUAGACCUGCAUAAUUAAAUGUUAAGUGAUACAGGCAUUCAAGGAGAGAUAAAUUGGUCUAUCACCUUUAGAGUUGCUCUAUAGAAAUUAUGGAGGUGGAGAAAUGAUGCGCGUUAUCUGUACAUGACAAAAUGCACCGAUCGUAUUAAGUAAUACAAUAAUAAAUAAGAGCAUCGUUCCACUAGGGAUCUAAUUGUGAGUAAUAUCUUCAAUCAUACACUAAUAUUUAGCAAUCAUAAUAUUGUUGGGUUGUAAUAAUAUUUAAUGGUCAAAUAAUCUUGAAAACAAAGAUUAAAACAAUUAGUAAACUUAUCAAGAAUAAAACCAAUUUAGACAGUAAAUCUCCUUAAUAAGUUAAGUAUUUCAUGAAACAAACAAUAGUUAAUUCAAAUCAAGAGUUGAGUUAGCAUUUCAUAAAAUUAGGUUUAAACCUUUCUCAAGUGAUUAAACCCCUAAUUCCUAAGAGGAGGGAGAGGAAUCUCUUCCCAAACUAACUCACUUAGGUCAUGCAUUAAGAUUAAAAAACUAUUCAACCAAAGGAUCUUGUAGAUCUAUCUUUAGUAUCCUAAUCAAUCCUCAAUCCCUAAGAUGUUAUCAAUUUAUAAAAAGUUAUCUCUAAUCACUUUAUGAAAAUAAAUCAUAGUCAAUACGUCGACUUAUCAAUUGAAAUAGAUAAUUAAGCAAUCAAAGGAACAAAACAACUCAUAGAAAAAAUUAAUUGUAUUAACUUUGAAUCAAUCCAUACAAAACAAAUUAGGGUUCAUCAAAACCAAAAUAGCAAGAAAAUUAGUUCCUAAAAAUUACAAUAGAGAAAUAAAGAUUAGGAAAAGAAGAUCUCAAACUAUUCAUGGAAGAGUAGAGACAAAAAUCUUCAAUCUUCAAAAGUAAUGAAUGAAUUAAUGUUCUUUCUUGAGAAAUAACAAUCAAAACCCUAAAAAUGAAAGAAAGAUAAAGUUUCUAAGUAUUUCUCUCUCUAGAAAUGAAAAUAUAACAGAACUUCCUUAAAAAACCCCUAAAGUCCUUUAAAUAGUGUAUUUUUAUGAUUGACAAGGGGACCACACGGGCACCACAAGGUCGUGUGAUGUCCUUAGCUUUUCGAAGCUUGAAUAUAUAUUUCUUUCUGUUCUUUACUCUACGGGCUAUUUUAGGAUAUCAUAAAAAUUGAAUUAAGGCUUACGUUCUUCAUCAAAGUUGUAGCUUUUGAAGAGUAGUUCAUUUUAAGAUUUGCAACACUUCAAUUAAACCUCUUUAGCUCUAGAUAAAGUCCAAAUACUGAGACUGACCCAAACAGAGAUGGAGUGCAUAACAUCUGACUUCAACCUAAGCUUUCUCAUCCUUAGCAACCUAAUAUGGAGUUGAGCUAUUUAUAAGCAUUAUAGCUGAGGAAGUCCUCUACAAAAUUGAUGAAGACCAGUUUUCAAUUCUAAACCUGUAAGAUCACAAAAAACUACACUAAAACUAAUGCGAUUAAAUCUGCGUAAUGCUGAAAUAUCAGUCUGACACGGAAAGCACACGCCCGUGUGGAUCCUUCAUACAAUCUGCCAUUUCUUACAACUCAAAUGAGAAGGCACACGCGUGUGCCUUCCCGUGUCACAUUGAACUUUGGAUAAAUAUGCCUUUUCUUUGCUAGAUUCUCAUACUUUUCAAUUUUAUUUGACUCAUUAACAUGUAUUAUCCUUAAAGUGCCUAAAAGAACUGAAAAUUAAGCUUGAAUAAACAAAUCAAAUUAAAUUGCAGUAAAAAUUAAUAUAAGAUAAAGCUGAAAAGUAAGUACCUUUAGCACUUAUUAAAUUUCCAAACACUUAGCAAUUGCUUGUCCUCAAGCAAAUUGAAUAGAAUCAGAAAUAAAGAAAUAAUAAACUCUUUGUUUAACAAAUAGAUAUUAAAUAAUAUCAAGGUUAAUCAUUCAUAUCAUUAAAGCCUAGAAUCAUUAGCCAAUAAUUAAUCCUUAAACAAAAUACCAACAUCUAGGGGAAUCACAUAAUAGGAAGUAAUGAAAAUUAAAACCUUAACAUCUAAAGUCAGGGAAAUGAGCAUUCUUUGCAAAUAACCCAAAAUUUUAAAGAAAAUAGAGAAAAGAUUUUUUCCCUGAGCACAAAAAAACUUCAUGAACCGCAAUUACUUAUGUCUCUGUUUUUUUUAGAGAUCUAUGCAUAUUCAAAAUUGUCAUUCUUUUGACGCGAAUGUAGAUAUGGAUGAUGCCAACCCCCAGUUACUUAACUAGAGUCACAAAUCUAAAUAACUACUCAUAUUCUCGGGUUUCUUUCAAUUUAUUUCUUUUUAUUUCGAAUGAGAAUAGCGGAAUAGAGCAAAAAACUCUUAGCAUUGUAUUUUGUUUACGUUCAUUUUUUUGACAUUUCGAAAGAAUAAGAGAGUACAAAGGAGUAUUAGAUGUGUCUACUUGAUAAGAUUAAGCGAAAUUUGAAAACUUAAUGCUCAUAAAUAUAACUAAAGUUUCAAGAUAUAAAAAUAACGCGACAUUAUGAAUUAAAAAUCCUAGCAUGGAUACCAAGUUCAAGUCAUAAUUCAAAGUGAAAUCAACUAAAUCGCAAUUCAAUAAAUGACUAACCAAAUUUAUUAUUUUGUACCUAUAAAUUUGAGAUAGAGAAAAUCAUAAUAAGUAAUUAAUUAAACUUAAUAAGCUUAUAGAAAAUUAAUCACAAAUAGGCAAAAGACAACAAAAAUGCUUCCCCCACACUUAAUCGACAUUAUUGUCCCCAAUGUAUUUGUUAUAUAACGUACAAUAAAAUAAAAUAAGGAGGAGACUUAAACCGAAUGAUUGUCGUUUUUUUUUAAUUCAAAAUUCAUUCUAAUUCACAAGUCAUCUGUUUAUCUAUCGCACAUCUAAGAAUAGAAAUAAAUGUUAUAACAUAUAUAGUCAUCCAAUAACAAAAGAAAACAAAAACACUAAAAAUAAAAAAACCAUAAAUAUCCUAAUUAAGUACAAUCAUCUAAAAAUAAAAUAAAAGACAUAGAAACAAAUCAAAAUAAAAGUCCAGCUCAAAUGCUAGAACAAGGUGGAGGUUCAAAUCCUCCAUACCAUCAUCUCCACCAACCUACAUCAAGGAGCUUAAUCAUCACCACCAAAAAUGCAUAUUCUAAAUGAGAUAAGAAUUGCUUAAGCUUCAAAGUUAGUAGGUAUUUAAUAGGAGGCUUCAUUCUUUCUUUGAUGGGCAUCUCAAUAGCUUUUGAUGUUUUCAGUUUUUCUGGUUUCUGCACAAGACACAACUCAAAAGUAUCUUUAGCAAUAAUAGAUAAAAUUAAAUUGACAAUUUCAUGCUCUAUCAUAUCAACACUAGAAUCCAUAUCAUUAAGUGCAAGUGGGUGUUUUAUGCCAUUGGGGGUUUAAAAAGUCAAUUGCUCAUCCCCUACCCUAAGAAUGAGUUUACCAUCAUGAACAUUAAUAUAGUUCUAGCUGUAGCAAGAAAGGAUUUAUCAAGAAUAAGGAAAACAUCAACAUCCUCAUCUAUAUUCAUGAUCAUAAAAUCCACAAGAAGAAUAAACUCUUGAACCUUUACCAAAACAUCUUCAAUGAUAUCCCUAAGGUAUACAACAGAUUUAUCAGCUAGUUGAACACUCAUGAGUGUUGGUUUAGGUUCUCUAAGUCCUAGUUUCUUAGAAAAAUUAUAAGGCAUAACACUAAUGCUAGCCUCCAAGUUAGCAAGUGCAUUUUCAACAUUUAAAUUACUAAGCUUCUUUCGUAAUCGCCUCUCAAAGAUCGCCGAGCUCUUCUCUGAUAGUUGCACCAUUGACACUUCCUUAAGCUUCCUCUUGUUAGAGAGGAGUUCCUUUAAGAACUUAGCAUACUUAGAAAUUUACGAUAGAGCUCCUAUAAAAGGUAUGUUAAUAUGCAACUACUUAAAGAGUUCAAGAAACUUACUAAAUUUUAUAUCCAAUUUGUCCUACAGAAGAUGGGCUGGAAAUGGUACCCUUGGUUUAUACUCCUUCACAAAAGGGGUAGGCUUUGGUGUUACUUCUACUUUAUCUUCUACUUUAUCUUUAACCGCAUCAGAUUGCUUUUCUGCUUACUUUGUUUCAGUUCAUAAUUAUUUUCCAUUUCUGAAAGUAAUGACCUUGAGUUGCUCUCUAGGAUUUGUCUCUAUGUUGCUAGGCAAGCUUCCUUGGGACCUUUCACUCAAAAGCUUUAUAAUCUGCCCCACUUGAUUUUUUAAGUUGUGAAUCGAAUCUUGUUGGUUCCUAAGAGCAGUUUUUGUAUACUGAAACCUUAAUUCAGAAGCUAAGAUAAAUUUCUCCAUCAUCUCCUCUAAAUUACUCCUUCUAGGAGGAGCUUGUUGCUGGUUUUGCUAUUGAAAUCCUGGUGGUGGAGGUCUUUGCUGAUUCUGAUUCCCCCAAGAGAAAUUCAGAUGAUUUCUCCAUCCUAAAUUAUAUUUAUUGCUGUAGGGGUUGUUCUAUUGGUCUGAAGCAUUACCCAUAUAAUAAACAUGCUUUAGCUUAGCAAAAGUAUUGCCAUUUUGGCAAUCUUGACAUAGAUGACCACACCUAUACCAAUCACAAGUCAUAACUUGUGCCUGUCUUCCAGAUGAAGACAUAGUCAAAGCAUCCAUCUUCCUGCUCAUAGCCUUUCACUGUGCAUUUACAGUUACCAUAGGGUCUACCGCAUGGAUUCCACUCCUUUUGACUCGAACCUACUCUCUUGGAUUCUGCCAUUGAUAGUUCGUGACUGCCAUAUCCUCAAUAAGAUCCAUAGCUUGCUCAAGAGUCUUAUUGUUUAGUGAUCUACCUGCUGUAGUAUUAAUAGACUAUUUACUUGCGUAAUUCAGUCCAUUAAAGAAUGUUUGAAUUUGUAGCCAUAAAAGUAAAUCAUGGUGUGGAUGGCUUCUCAGUAAAUCUUUGAAACAUUCUCAACAAUUGUAUAGAGUCUCAUUCUCUUACUGAAGAAACCUUGUUAUGUCAUUCCUUAACUUGGCCAUCUUAGAAGGUGAAAAAUAUCUUUCCAAGAGUUUCUCGGCCAGCUGAUUCCAAGUCGUAAAUAUCCUACUUGGAAAUAACUUCAACCACUUCUUUGGCUUAUCCCUUAAUGAAAAUGGGAAUAGCCUCAACCGAAUAGCACCAUCUAAUACCCUAUUAAUCUUGAAGGUAUCGCAAAUCUCCAGAAAAUCAUUUAAAUGGGUGUUUGGAUUACCAUUUGAAUGAUGUUAGGCUUGAUCUCGAAGUUUUUUACUACAACAUUUGACCUUAUAAUACUCGAUGUGGCCCCAUUAAGAGUUUGGCAUGCAUACUCCUGCAUGAUUCUCUCCCUCGGUGGAGCUGCCAUCCUUAACUAUUCCCCUUCUUAGUUUGGUUCUCCUUCUUGAUUUCGAUUCUGUAACUCUGCUGGCAUUUCGGCUAAAGCUCGUUCUCGUUCUUCUCUUUGUUGCUUCCUUAAAGUUCUUUCCAACUCUAGUUCGUAAGCAAAUAAUUCAGUUGAACUAGCUCGGGUCAUAUACAAAUUCAAGUAUUUACAGAAAAUACAAACAUAACAAAGAUAAAUCAAAUGAAAAAUAAAAAUGCUAAAUUACUAGCUUUUGAAUUACUAAUGAUAUCACAAUAGAAAAUAGGUCCCCGAUAACGGCGCCAAAAAUUUGAUGCGUGCUAUCUGCACAUGGCAAAGUGCACCAAUCGUAUCAAGUAAUAUAAUAAUGAAUGAGAGUAUCGUUCUACUAGUGACCUAAUUAUGAGUAUUACUUUCAAUCAUACACUAAUGUUUAACAAUAAUAAUGUUGUUGAGGUGUAAUAAUAUUUAAAAGUAAAAUAAUCUUUAAAACAAAGAUUAAGACAAUUGGUAAAGCCUAUUUAGGUAAUGAAUCCCCCUAAUAAGUUAAGUAUUUCAUGAAACAAACAACAAUUUCAAAUCAAGAAUUGAGUUAGCAUUCUACAAAAUUAGGUUUAAACCUUUCUCAAGUGAUUAAACUCCUAAUUCAUAAACGGAGGGAGAGAAAAUCCCUUCUCGAACCCACUCACUUAGGUCAUACAUUAAGAUUAAGAAACUAUUGAACCGAAGAAUCUUGUAGAUCUAUCUCUAAUAUAUCAAUUCUCAAUCCCUAAGAUGUGAUCAAUUUAUAAAAAGUUAUCUCUAAUCAGUUUAUGAAAAUAAAUCUCAAUCAAUACAUCGACUUAUCAAUUAAAAUAGAUAAUUUAGCAAUCAAACGAACAAAAUAACUCAUAGAAAAGAUUAAUUUUAUUAACUUUGAAUCAAUUCAUGCAAAAUAAAUUAGGGUUCAUCAAAAUCCAAAUAGUAAGAAAACUAGUUCCUAAACAUGACAAUAGAGAAAUAAAGAUUAGAGAAAAAAGAUCUCAAACUAUUUAUAGAAGAAUAGGGAUGGAAAUCUUCAAUCUCGGAAAGUAAUGAAGGAAUUGAUAUUCUUCCUUCAGAAAUAUUAAUCAAAACCUUAAAAAUGAAAGAAAGAGAAAGUUUAUAAGUGUUUCUUUCUCUAAAAAUAAAAAUAUAACGGAACUUUCUCAACACAACCCUAAAAGUUACUUAAAUAGUGUAUUUUUAUUACACGGGCACCACACAGCCGUGUGACGUCCUUAGCUUUUCGUAACUUGAAUAUGUGUCUCUUUUCAUUCUUUACUUUGCAGACUAUUUUAGGGCAUCGUAAAAAUCUAAUUGAGGCUUACAUUCUUUAUCAAAUUUUAGCUCUUGGAGAUUAGUUCAUUUUAAUAUUUUGAAUCACCUCAAUAAGACCUCUAUAUCUCUAAAUAAGGCCUAAACACUAAGAUUGACCUAAACAAAGACGGACUGCACAACAUCUGAUUUCGAUCCAAGUUUUCUCAUCCUUAGCAACCUAAUAUGGAGUUAAGCCAUUCAUAAGAAUUAUAGCUUAGGAGGUCCUCUAUAAAGUUGAUGAAGACCACUUUUCAAUCCUGGACCUUUAAGAUCACAAAAAAGUAUAUUGAAGCUAAUGAAAUCAAAUAUGCGUAAUGCUGAAAUUCGCCUAUUAAUAUGACACGAGAAGCACACGCCCGUAUGGGCUUCCCAUGUGGACCCUUCAUGCAUUUGCCAUUUCUCACAAUGGAAGACUACAUGCUUGUGUGGCUUCCCGUUUCACACUGAGUUUUGGAUAAAUAUGACUUUCUUUUGCCCGAUUCUCAUACUUUUUAAUUUUAUUUGACUCUUUGAUAUGUAUUAUCCUUAAAGUGCCUAAAACAAUUAAAAAUUAAGCUUGAACAAACAAAUCAAACUCAAUUGAAAGUAAAAUCAAUAUAAAAUAAAGCUAAAUAAUAAGUGCUUUUAGCACUUAUCAAGAAAUGAACUCUUUUUUUAAAAUGCAAGCUUGUGGAAGGAGCGAAUGAUAUCUGACAUUCUUUGUUUUUAGCUGAAAUUGCAAGGACUGCCGAAGGUCAUGGUAGUAGAAGCUAUAACGAGUUGCUUGUCUAUUAGACACCUUCAAAGGGACCCAGUUUAAAGCUCAACACUGAUGUGGCUUUCUGCUCGAAUACUAUGCAUGUGAAUGGGGGUGGGGUUCUGCAGGAUGUUAAGGCUAUGUGGCAGGAAAGCUUUAUCAUGAAUAUAGGGUGUUGCUCAAUUACUAAGGUGCAGGUAUGGGCCUAUUUAAAGGUCUACAUUUUGCUUGGGAGAGAGGAGUUUGAAACCUAGAAUUAGGGCUGAUAGCUUGUGUAUCGUGCAGCUUGUCGAAAGUCAAAAAUUAGGGAUCAACACUCACUGCCAGCUUACGAAGGGUAUUAAGAAUCUUUUGUCUAGGAAUUGGCAAGUCUUAUUAAGGCAUAUCUUCAGAGAGGCCAACAGGGUAGCUAAUUAGCUAAUAAGCUUUGCUUCAACUUUUCCAUUGGUUUUUAUAGGGAUAAUAAUAUAAAUGGUCACUAAACUUUGCAAUUAAUUUUAUUUGGAUUAUAAAAUUUUAAUUUAUUUUAUUUCAACAAUUCAAUAUUAGUUUUAGUUGUAAUUUAGUCACUUUGCCAAUAAAAAAUUGCCAUGUCACAAUUUUCUUACUUAAUUAUAUUUUUCUUAUUAAUUGUUUUUACUACCAUCAAUCUUGUAUUUAAGAAGUGAAUAAUUGAAAUAAAAUUAAGAUUAAAUGACAAACAAAAAAAAAAAGAUUUUAUGAUUAAAAUAAAACGGAAUACAAAGUUGUUUUAAAGAAUCCGCCGGUCAUCUCUUAUUUCAGGAUGUUGUUGACUACUAGUAGAGUUAUCAGUAUUUAUUAGCUUUCUUUAAAUCUCUUUUUUGUAAAAGAAGAAAAAAAGGAGUGCGAGUCAAUUUUUCAGUUCAACAUUUAUUCUCAAGUAGAAGCUCUCUCUUAUUACAAACUGAAGAGAUGAGACCAUCCAUCAAAGUCUUCUUUUAUUUUUCCGGACUUCGCAUUGACCUACACAUCCCCCCGCUCCCCAUAGAAAAAGAUAAAAAAAGGCCAUGUACGCCUUUCUCAGUACAAAGCUUAAGCAUCAUAAUGCCUUCUUCCUGACUGGAACCUUGAGCUACCUAAGGUUGUUUCCUCUCUAGCAAACUUGAUUCUCCUUGCCUCUUCUAUCGACACCCGGAAUGCAUUGGCAAUCACCUCCACUGGCAUGCCGCGAACAGCAGAAGUGCGGCCGGAAAGAUCAGAGGUCAUGGCAUUGUCGUUGGUCUUGAAGGCAACGUAUUCGAAUCUGUCACUCUCUGACCGUUUCACCACCACAAAGUUCUGUGGCACGGUCAGGACCUGUCCUUCUCGUACAUUUCCAUCGAACACACUGUUGCCGUUCUCAUCCACCACCUGAAUCCGUGCUUGACCCUUCACGGCAUAGAUUACGCUGUGGGCAUUUAUAUGCCAGUGGGGUAACCUCACAGCAUCCUGCCAGGAACAUAUCAAUCAUUAUAAGUUGUGGAAGCGCUUCAUUAUAGUUAGAAUCGAAGGAGCAUUGAUGACUUACAUUGCGAAGAACGACAUGCGAAGCACUGAGUUGGAGCCAUCGCAGAAUAGGGAGGUUGUGGCUGUUGACAGUGCUAACACGGCCAACUUCUGGGACAAAUACAUCAGAGCGAGAGGGAUCAGCAAUGUUCUCUUUCAUUCUCAUGGUGCAAAAUGUCUCCUCAACGCCAUUGUAACGUCCUGGUCGGCCUUCUUGCUCUCUCUCUCGUUGUUCCUCUCUCUCCUGUUGAGUCCUGGGUGGCCUAACUACCAGAAGCCUACCUUCUACAUUCACAAUGCUGCCUCUGAAGUCACUUUGGCCUUGAAGUUUCCUAGCCAACUGCUCGUCCACGUUGAAAGCUUCGGCAAGGACUCUUGAGUCUAUUCCGCAGAAAAGAUUGUUGCAAGAAACAUGUGGCGGCUGACUUGGACGGCGAGAAAAUUGAUGCUGGCCGCGCUCAUAGUCGCCGCGUGGAAGUCGUGGGAACACAUCUUCUGUAUUGCCAGCUAGAUAAAAGUCCUGUUAACAAGUUCAAGAAAAACCAUAAAAUGUGAAUUAACGCCUAACAAACACCUGACCGCAUAUACAUGCGUAGGUAGGCAUAUGUUUUUGUUUCUUACUCUGGGGUUCCUAUCAAGCUGGUUGCCUAUGUUGGCAGUGUCAAGCACAGAAAUAGUAACGACAGGCUCAUUGCCGUCAUUGUAGCACCAGUGGGCUACUCCAGCAGGCAAAGCAAUAACAUCGCCCUUACGGAAAUGACGAAUCUUCUGGUGCUGAUCACGAACUCUGCUGCUGCCACCUGAUUGCUGAGACUCUUGGAGUGUUUCAGCACAUCCCGGGAGCAAGACCCCUGUCAUUCCUCUACCUGUAUAUAAACAAAUUAAUCAUCUCAUAAUCCAAAAUUCCAAGCACAUUAACUCACAUAUACCGCUUGGUGUAUAUAAUUUCAGCUUUUGAAUAUAUAAUUUUACCCUGGACAACGUAUAAGAGUUGAGGAGCAUUGCUAUAGGAUGGCAAUAGAAGGCCAUUGGGAUGAAUGGUGCGCCUAACAACAGCAACACCAGCGCAUUGGAACUGAUCACGGUUAGGAUUCCACGACUCAACCAAACCAGCUUCGGUCUGAAUACGUUUAUCGGGUUCGAGGGCAUAGAGUUUAUUGAGUUGGCACUCAUUACCCUGCUGAAAUUCACGGCGAGCUAGAGAGCCAUGGAAGAGAACAAGUAGGAAGAAAGAAAGAGAGAGCAGCGAAGAAGGCUGAACCAUAGUGGCAGAGAGGAGGGGAUAGGUGGUUCUGGGAUGGAAAUGGCGAAUGGAAGGGGUUGGUAUUUAUAGAGGAAGAAGGAGAUGCAAAAGAAAGAUGAUCGUAAGGUUUCUUUGGUCACUCUCUUUGAUUUGCAUGGCUACUUCAUCUUAACUUCUUACACCUAAUAAAGUCAGGCAGGGCAGGUGUAUCAAAACUCCAUAGAAGAAUACAAAAGUUUGUGACUGGGGAAGAAGGAAAAAGAAGAAGACAACAUUGGAUUGCAAAAACCAUUACCAUAACACCAAAAAGUGAUAAAGUGUCUAAUAACUAUGUUUGAUCUAUAACGUCCAAAUAAAGAGAGAUUAGAGACAAAUGUGUUACUUUUUUCUUCUUCUUUUGCAAUUAUAUAUAACACUCUUUUGCAUUUCCAUGCCCAAUUGUUUAAAUCACAAUGAUCUUAUAAAGGGGUGUGAAUAUUUUAUUUAAUUUUAUUUUAAUUAUAAAAUUUUAAUUUAUUUUACUUGGGUCAUUCAAUUUUAAUUCAACUAAUAAAAAAAUAAUUAAAAGAAAUAUGAUAUAUUAACUUUUUAUCAAUAGAAUGACUAAAUUGCAAACAAAAUUCAAAUUAAAUAAUUGAAAUAAAAUAAAGUAAAAUUUUGUAACCAAAAUAAAACUAAAUAAAAAAUUGAAUGACCAUUUAUAUUAUUAUUUUAAUAUUUUAUUAUAUCUAUAUAUUGAUAAUCUAAUAUCCUUUACUUUAAAAUAUUUCGUUGUUUAUAAUAUUUAUCAUAUUAUAAUUCAAACUGAAUGAUUUUUUACUAAUAAAAAUCUUAAGAACACAAAUCUCAUAUUAUUAGUUCAAACUGUAUGAUACUUUACUAGUAAUAUUUGAAGAACACAAAUCUUAUAUAUAUACACAUAAAAUUCUUAUUAAUUUGAAGAGAAAUUAACCCUAGCUAGUUGUAACUAGAGUUACAGCCACAUAUAUGCGAACAAGUCAAGACCAGACUGCAGGGCAAUUAAUGAUCAACGUCCCCUAAAUGUCCCUAAAGGGAAUCUGCUACAAAGUCUGUCUAAUUAAUGGGUACAUAAGGUAUUAUACAUAAGUUUCCACUGUGAAUGUCCUCUUCCUUAAUUGUUACUAAUCCUGAGAAUUUCUUUUUUAAAACAAACACUCUACUCAAUUAAAAAUAUACAGGGGACUUAUAAAAGACUAUGUCUUGUAGAAAUUGUUUUUCAAAUGAAAAUAGAAAAGGCCUUCUACCGCAGCUGACCCACAGGCCAAUAGAAUUUUGGUGAUAUUUUUUUUAAAUUAAAAAAAAAAAAACAGUUUUUUUAUGUUUUAACUUUGAAAAACUUUUAAAGACAAGUUAAAUAUGUUUUCUAUGUUUUUUUUAAUAAAAACUCACUUAUUUUUAAAUAAAAAUAAUAAAUUUUCAUUUCAUUUAUUCUAAAUCUAUCCUAUAUACUUAAAAUAUUAUCUAAAUAUAUAUAAAGUAAAUAUGUUUUAUAAAUUUUAUAAAUUUUCUAUUAAAAUGAAAAUUUUCAUUUUUCUUAAAAGUUAAAAGAUAAAAAUAGAAAGAAAACAUGCGUCUGAAAAUUGGUAACCGCCUACUACUUCUUACAAUAGUGUAAAUAUCAAAACUACCAAGACAAUGGCUUGUCAUAAAGUAAACUAAAUGCAUAGCUAGACACAAGAGCAUUUCAAUGAUAAACAGUAGACCAAAGUCUCAACUUCAUAAGUAAAAUAAUCUGAGUAUCUAUCUCAGAGAUGAAUUUUUCCUUUUAUGUAUGUAGAUCAAAAGAGUGAUAACCACAACAGAGAAAACAUGCCAAAAAUACAGUUUACCUGAGAAUCCAUGACUAAGUGAGCUGCUGGAUAGGGUGAUAAAAGAGCAGUGCACGUGAUAUUGGCACGGCUCAAUCAAAAAGCAGGGCCCAUAACAUUUUGAGCACUGUUUUCUUAUUGAACCGGACCAAUAUCCCGUUUGAUUCACCUGUUCCAUCUGAUGCGUAUAUGGCAAUGACAAAGCUUUUCUAAUCCAUUUUACUCACCAUCUUUCAUUUGGAAACGAGUCUUCUAUCUAAAUAUAUACACAACAUACAAACAAAAAGUUCAAAACAAUAAAUUAAGAAAAAGAUAAAACAUAAGAGAAGAUCAAUACAAAGAGUAGGAAUGAGAACAUAGAUACAUAUAGGCAUGCAAAAAGAACAUGCAAAUACUGAACAGAGAAGGGAGAGCAUAACCCAUGAGGAGAAGAGAAGAGAGAAAGAGACAAAGUUAAAAGAAGUAAAGAAUGAGUGUGUGUCUCAAGAAAGGUAGUAAACCAAAGGCAACAAAGAAACACAGAAAGAAAAUGGGGAGAUGGCAGAUAUAAUAGCAUUAAAUAAGUGAAAUUUAAGGUGUUCAACUACCCAAUAAGGAAGGAAGUUGGGAAUAUUAAUUUUUAAAGAAGGUACAAGAAUCGUGAAAGAGGGUCCGGCGGAUACAAAAUCUGAAAGCUUUUAAUAAAAUUGGAGUAGCAUUUAUAGAUAUGGUGUGGGCAGCAAAGGUGGGACGUUGGAUUCUGUUCAUCCGCAUUUAUUAGUGUUUCAAUUCACAAUACAAAACAUAAGAACUUUUGUUUUGUUCUGGUUUGGUUUUGGUUACCUUAGUUAUUACUGCUGAGUGGGUAUUUCGUAGGUUUUAGCAUAACUACUUAAUGCCAUGCUCUCCUAGUAGCAUUAGAGAAUCUCAAUGGUGUUUUUAAUAUCUUUAUAUUAUAUAUAAUAGAAUAUAAUAAAAAGAAGUAAAUAGUAUACAUUAUGCAUAAUUUAGUAUAUGUUUGAGAUACUUUUGAUAUAUUACUAUUUUAAUUUUGUUCUAAAAAAUUAAAUAUAUAAAUUUUUACUUGAAUAUCUGUUAGUAAAUAUAUAUAUACAUACUCUAAGAAAAGGGCAUAUCAAUUGUAUACCGUGAUCGCGGUCUUUUUAGGAUCCGUCUCAAGUGAUUGUGGCUACGUUACUGUGUCGGAGGUUGUAUCGUUCAUACUAGGCUUGAUUUAAAAGAGCCGUCUGGAAAGAGAUCUCAAGAAAUUUUGGUUUCCCUUGACACAAAGUCUGACCUCCACUAAACUUUAAGGCUUUUGGUUUUCCUAAUCGUAUUAACUUACCUUGGUUGCUACUCAUUUUAUUACGAUGGCAUUUUAUUAUCUUGUUUAGACAUAUAAAGGUGAGAAAUAAAGUACUAGCCUAGCAUACAUCUAUCUAAGUAAGGAAGGCACAUUAGUGCCACUAAUUCUAAGAACGUCCAUUAAUACCUUAAAUUUUAUUUGCUAUGCCAAGGUGACCAAAUAAGAACCGAUUUUAUUAAGCAUAUGGAUGUCGGUUCAUUUUAUCUUUAGUCGAUUAGGUGAGUGAAAUAUGGAAGGCGAGGGGAUUCACAUUGAUGACUUAGUUUAUUUUAGUUAACAUGUGACAUGAUCAAUCAACAUACUUUCAAUUUUUAUUUGGCAUAUGAGGUGAAAUCUAAGCAUACCAAAACAAUUAGAAAAAUAGAUAUAAAGAAUGAGAAGAGAGAAAUUAAUGGGAUACAAAAUAUAUUAGUAAGUAUAAUGGAAAUUUAAAUAACACCUUGAAUAGUCCUAAAGCACACCUUUAAACAAAUAAGUAUAUAAACAAUCAAAUCCAUAUUUAUUCUAAAUCAAGGGUGGUCUUUAUUAGAGGAUUAGGUCAAGCACAAGGAUUCCCAACCUGUACUAUGAAGAAGGUCAAAUUAGUAGAAUGUUUCAAAUAGUGAUAUUAUGAUAAGAAACUAAUAAAAUGAUGACUUUAAUAUUAAAAAGAAAAACUAAAAUAUGGUAAAAAUGUAAAUUUAAUAUAUAAAGUCUAAACUUAGUUAUUUCAAAUAAAAUAGAGGAUAAACAUGUAUAUCUACCCUAGAUACACCAUAAUCAAAUUAUUAAACUAAUCAAGCAAAUGCAACUUAAGAUUUAAUUUACUUAAAAUAAAUAAUCAAGCUUCUAAAGAAAUUAAUUUACUUAAAAUAAAUAAUCAAACUUCUAAGAAAAUUAACUUUAAACAUGUGAUGCUAACACCUAACCCAUAUUAACUUACACAAAAUAUUAACAAUCCUAAUGUACUCGAAUUAUUAUCAUGUUUAGCCAUUUAAGCACGUAUUCACUCAAAAUAAACUCAAAACACACUCAAAUCAUACCGAGUUAAUUUAAAUUAUUUUAGACAAAAACUGAAAACAUUCUAUAAUCAUCAAAUACAUCACUGAAAGGCCUUUGAAACCCUAGAUCUACCAAAAAUGCCAUGAAAAUGGAAGCUCCAAGCUUUUGUAAGCUUACCCAACGUAGGGUAAGCUCCUAGAAACUUGAAGCUUUUUUCAUAAAAUACCACUUUUUAAUUUAAUGCAGACAUAAAAUAUAAUAAAAUAUAGUCAAAUAUAUGUCUAAUACAAGUUUAAUCUAGAGUUUUGACCCUCGGGGUGAUACCUUUUGGGGAAUAAGGCAAAAGUGAUGGCUUUGAGAGUGAAAAAGGUUUUGUAAGCUACUUGAUACCAAAAUGAACCUCAAAUGCCUCCUAGAUUGAACAAAGUAAUCCUGCAAAUAACAAGACCGUGAAAAAUAAAAGGUUGGGUGUGUUUUGGUAUUGAGUGGAGGAAAAGAUAAGAAAGGGUUAAAUAUGGGUAUUUAGGCUAGAAAAAAGGAUGAUUUAAAGGUUGUAAGAUAGAUAUAAGUUGCAGGAAAACUUGAAAAAAAGAGAUUUGCAAUGGAUUCUUUUUGGGUUUUAUUGUCCCUUAGAACCAAGAAGUGGGGGAUUGAAUUGGUGAUUUCAAAUCGCGGAAUUAGAUGAAGUACAAGGUUAAAAAGCCACAUGAGGAUUUUAAGUGAACAAAACAAAGAGUAAAGGUUAAAAGAGAUUGAGACAAGGAAUUUGUAUUGAUUCGGGACAAUCCUCCCUACGUCCACUCCUCAAGAUCACACUUGAAUAUUUCACUAUAAUCAAAUCUUGAUUACAACCUUUGGGUUUCACAAGCUCACUCAGCAACUUGGUAUUUUUUGCAGACUAACACUACACCUCUUCCUUUAGUAUCUUAAUCUCUCAUUAAGUCCAUCUACCAUUGAGUUUUAAUGGAAACUUAAUAAUCAAUCCUUGUAUUUUUAAUGCCUAAGCUCGCAUAACAAUCCUUUUACAAGAGCAUGCAAGCUCUUACCACUUAUACAAGGUUAACUAUACAUAAGAAUUGUAAGAAUAAGUUAGGAAAUGAAUAGUAAUGAAUAUGGUUCUUAGGAAGGUUUUUGAUCAACUAUAAAUGUCUCUUAUAAGGGGUAUUUAUACCCCUAACCACCAAAGAGACAUUACAAAUAGAUCAUGGCCCAAUUCUUUACUUCUAGCUCUAGAUAAUGCAUUAAAUGCACUGUUAGAACACAGUCGCGGUCGCUACACCUUAAUCGCGAACACAACUCAUUUUUUACGAUCGAGAUUCUUGAGUCGCGGACGUGAAACUUAAAGUGGCAACGACUAUAUUCCACAUGGCACUCUGUGAUUCACCGUGUCAGAAGUAACUGUUGGCGUUUUUCUUGAGCUUGCAUAAAUUGUGGUUGCAAAAUCAAGGGCCUAGAAGCAAUUCCUACUGCUUCCUUAGCAUUGAGAUUCUUGGAUACGAUUGACUGGCUUGUGGGCACAAAACCUUCUACCUUUCAAAAUUAGACUUUCGUGGGCACGAUGCAGGGCUCACGAUAACGAAAUCUUUAAUUGCCUUAAUGGUUAAGUUGUUUAUGAAAGUCGCAUUCACGACAUGCUUGUGACGAUCGUGAUUUAGAGAGAAUUUUUUAGUACUUGAUUUGAUUAAGCUUCUUCAAAGAACAUCUAUGCAUAAUACUCAAAGAUAAGAUUAAAUACACUCAAUCUUAAUUGUCAAGAUCAAAAUCAAUGGUGCCUUGAGUCAUGAAAAGGACUUAGGCUAACAAUCUCCCCUUUUCUUAUUUGACAAUUAAGGUUAAAUUUGAUAGAGAAAAAGUGUAAUAUCCGAAAUGUUUCUUUAAUAAUAAUAAUAUUAGUAAUAAUUAAUAAACGAUUUUUUAUUUAAAUUAAUUUUACUUUAUUUUUAUUUGAUUUAAUUGGAAUGAUUUAAAUAGAAUUUUAAUGCUAGACAAAAUAAGGGAGUUACUUUGUAUAUCUAAUUUGUUUGAUUUUCUUUUAAGAAAUUAAUUAAGUAAAUCCUUUGGAAAAUGGAUUAUUUUUUCGGUCAUUCAAUUUUUCCCCAAUAUGAAUAUAUAAAUUAAUUUAUAUAUUUGAAAGUUAUGAAAGAAUUAGUAAAGGAUAUUUUAUAAAAGAAUUAUUGGGCAAAUGGCAUUUUAAUUAGCUAAUGGUAUUAAUUUUAAUUGGAAAAUAUUUAGCAAAUUGAUUAAUUAAAUUAAUUAUGUUAGGAUUAAAUUGGAAAUUUAUUUUGGAAUAAGGAUUAAAAAUAUAAUUUUAUUAAUAUGGGAUUUUAAUGAAAAUUUGUAUGUUUGGUAUUUUUGUAAUUAUAUAUGUCGGCAAGAGUUUUUUGAUAAUUUUACAUUUAAAAGCAAGGGUAAAUAAGUAAUUAUAUAUUUUCAAUAAUUCUAAUUUUGGCCCAAAUUAAAUAGUUAGCGGCUUAAUUGAAAAGCAAAAGAAAAGUUGGAAGAUCAAUCAGAAAUUUUGUAGGACGAAAUUGUUAUAAUUAAAGAAGUUAAGGGACUAAAUGGUAAAGAAGAAAAGUUCAGGGACCAAUAGUCGAUAUGGAGAGGAGAAGAAAAGAAAAGGAAAGAAAGAGAAGAAGAAGAAGAAGAAGAGGAAGAAGAGGAGGAGGACACGACCAUCGGUGGAACAGCGUAGGAGGCUCGUCCGUGGUGUGGCGGCGAUGGCUAAGGGCGCUGCUGUCAUCGGCAAGCCCGUUGGCGUCAGUGGCUGCAGCUAGAAGUGUCGGCAGGCGUCGAAAAUGGCUAGAAAUGGCAGAUUUUUCUUGCCGCCGAUCAUGGAGUUUCCGGUGACCAUUUGCGGCGUUCUUAGGCUCAAAAUGAUCAGCAACUUCUGGGCUUUCUUUUCCGACCAUCGCCAUCCCUUGAGGCUGCCGGAAUUGCAAAAUUCGAUGAGGUGAAAAAAGUAGGGGCAGCCGGAAUUUUGAACUUUUCUGGUGAGCUCCGGUGAGGGAUGGAUGAUCGAAGGGCAUAUCCAGACUCUACUCAGCUCAAGCUUUCUAAUGGCACCGGUUUCGUGGCGAUCGGACUCCGUUUGAAAAUCGAUGGCUGAGAUCGUCCGUAAAUCUCUCUGAAUGAUCGGGGGUCAGAUCGAAAGAUAAGAAGCUGGGAUCGUCAUCAGUGCAUCGUUUCGAGUCCGUUGGUGCGUUCGGAUCGUCAAUCGGACUCCGACGGCUAGAGGCGAGUCGACCAAGCGAUCAAGCGUCUCGGUAAUUCUCUGGCCCGUUGAUUUUAGAAUUUAUUAGUAAAAUUUAUGUGUUUAUUUGUAGUGUCAAUUAUUAGAAAUAUUAUAUGAAGUUUAUUAGUUAAAAUAAAUAGUUUAUCGGACUGUCUGCCAUUAGUCGUGAUUUGUGAUGUAUGGCGGAGUCGGAAAAAAUAGUGAAGUCUUGGGGACCCGACUCCCGUUAAAAUAAAUUGUUGAAAUAUUUGAAGUAUUUUUUGGCAGGUCUUAGACCCAUUAUAUGGGGGGCAAAUAUCAGUAAAUUAGGGGAGGUUCUGCCGAAUAUGGGACGCCAGUAGAACAUGCCACCUGAUGGGUUGCAUCAGGACCGCGUGUGCACCGGUAUGAAUCAGAGACAGAAAAUAAGGGGUAAAGGUUUGUAAAUUUUAAAAGGUAAAUCUAGGACUUACCCUGGUCGAGCAUUACUCUCUAAGCUGAGUAGAAUGAGUUUGCCGGAGUAAAGGUCCUUGGUCGAGUAUUACUUUCUAGGCGUCGGCUUAUUUGGAAACCUAAGUGACCGGACUUGAUUUAAGGACCUUGGUCAAGCUUCGCUCUUUGGGCGCCAGUCUUAUUGGAGUAAAAGAGCCGAAAGGUAAAUACUGAUAGUGAUAAUUAAGUGACCGAACUUGAGUUAAGGACCCUGAUCGAGCUUCGCUCUCUGGGCACCAGUUCUGUUGGAAUGAGAGAGUCGAGAUGUUAGUGUUGCGAUUAGCGUUCUACUGAAGCACUUUGUCUCGUAGUAUGUGAAAGUUAUUUUUAUUUAAGCAUGGCAUGACACAUAUAUUUUUGCAUGACUUAACGUUUAUUUCAAAUUAGAUAAAUGUGUUAUAAAAGUGUUUGUAAUUAUUUUUGGAUAUAUGAUUUUAACUCACUCUCGAGACUGACAUACUCAAUUUCACUAUUUUUCAAGUGAUUGUUAGUCUUCCCGCAGUUCUUAUCUAGCAACCCGACUCAUUCAUCAUGGGGUUGAUGUAAUUGAUUUUAGUAUCUUUAACUUGUAAAAUUUAGAUUCUCCACAGUAGAAAUUUUUAGACUUAUCAGUUCGUAAUUUUAUAUAAGUUCAAGUCUCGCCUAACUAUGCUGGCGAACCGAAUUUAAUUUAUAGUACUCGUUGAUUUAAGAUUAAUUAUGGAAAUAGUGCUUUGGAUUGAGUUCGGAUUUUAAUUUGAUUGAGUUAGUGAAUAAUCAAGCUUACUACGGGAUUUGGUGACCUUAAGCCUACCCAUUCCCUAGUGCCCAUCACGGGCCUACAGAUCGAGUCGUGACAAAAAGAAAAUGAAGAAUUGAACAAGGUCAAAAUGAGAAGAGAUUCUCUCCCCCUUUAUAAAUGAUGUUUUUGAACCUACCCUUUUUUUAGUUACUAUGAGCGUGGCUUUUUUGCAGCCUGCUCCAAACGAUUGCAACUAUGUCACUAUGUCACUAUGUCCAAGGUUGUCUCAUCCGUACUAGGCUCGAUUUAAAAGUGAGACAUUUAGGAAGAGGUCUCAAGGUGUCAUGACAAUCGUGAUGACCACAAAUUAUUGGAGAAGAUUGGGAGUCACCACUCGAGUAAAAUAAUUGGGACAAAUAGAGAGGGGCGAAGGAUAAUGGCUCAGAUUUAUCAUAGACAGCCUAACUUUCUCCCUCCUUAAAUCAUAGAUUUGGUUUCAGAAAGUUAGGUAUGCGCUGGGAAGGGGUUAGGCACCCCAACAUGCCCAGACACAAAGUCCGUGCUCUACUAGACUCUUAAGGCUUUUAGUUUCCCUAAUCAUACUAACCUAGAUUGGUUGCUACCCGUUUUAUUACAAUGAUAUUUUAUUAUCUUAUUUAAUCAUGCAUAAAAUGAGGAAAUUAGAUUACUAACCUAGCAUACAUCUACCUAUAGAGAAGGCACAUUGAUGCUACUAACCUAAGGGAGGUAGGUUGCUACCUUAGAUUUUAUCUAACAUGCCAAGGUGACCAAAUUGAACUAUUUUUAUUUAAACGUAUGGAAGCUAGGUUUAUUUUAUCUUUGAGCAAUUAGGUGAAUGAAAUAUGGAAAGCAGGGAACUCACAUUUAUGAGUUGAUUUAUUUUAGUAAGCAUGUGAAGUGAUUAAUUAACCUAAGUCCAGUUUACCUUUAGUAUAUGAGGUAAGAUCUAAAUAUAUCAAAGUAAUAAAUAAACAAAUAUAAAGAAUGGAAAGGAAGGAAUUAAUGAGGUACAAACUGGAUUAGCAAAAUAUAAUGGGGGAAUAAGUAGCAUCCUUAAUAAACUUAAACCAAUAAUCAAUAAGGCAUCAAAAUAAUCAUAAUAUCCACACAAAAUUAAACUCAUUCCCACCAAAAGGAGUUAAGUCCAUUUGGCUAACCAAACCUGUUCUAGUAAAAUCGAAAGUUAGUGUAGUACUCAUGAAAUAAUUAAAAUAAUAAAAGCAAUACAACCAAACACAUUUACCAUAUGAAUAGUCACUCAAAUAGAAUUAAUCACACCAAAUCUAACCUAAAGAAAGUAAAUGGAAAGCAGAACACCUAAUUAAACAUAAUCAUGCUAUCAAUCAUAUUAUUAACCUAUUUAUCAUCAAUCCUAAAAAAAAUUAAACCAUACAUUUUAUCUUUAACAAUAAUCAACAAAUCCAAACAUAUGACAUAAAACCCUAAACAAUUAAUAAAAUAGAAAAUAAUUAAACUUGUCACUCUAAUCUUUUGCUAAUCAUGCAUUAACAACUAAUUAAACCAAUAUUAAAACCCACCAAACAGAAAAUAAACAUAUUCAUCAAGUAAUCAACAUAAUAUAUAAAAGCAAUUAAGACCCAAAAUUAAUCAAAACUACCAAAAAAGAAGCAUUAAGCUUCUAUGAGCUUACCCUACAUGGGGCCUUAGCCCACGUGGGCUAAGCAAAAGCUCGCGUGGCCUAAGGCUUACCCUACAUGGGGUAAGCUCUUAGAAGUUUGGAGCUUCUGUUUUGGAGAAUUUCUACGCCAAAAAUAAUUUCCAAAUGUAAAAUGGAUGUGAAUAUGAUGAAUUGAACGUAGAUAGGUACACAAGGCAAGUUUAUUACGUAGUUUUCAGCCCUCAGAUUAUAUCUUUGAAGUUAAUCAAGGAAAGGAGUGAUUUUAAGGUGAGAAAGGUCUUACUCGAGUUGUUUAGAAACCAAGAAGCUCUAGAACCUUUUAGAAUAAACGGAUUAAACCUGCAAAACAUAAGAAAUGUGAAUGGUGCAAAGAUUGAGGGUCUUUUGGGUUUAAUUUAAGGAAAAAAAAUGUAAUGAAAUAUGGGUCUUUCAUGAGCUAUCAAUGGAAGCUUAAAGGUUGUUUUAAGGACUUAUGUUGCUGGAAGAUUCAAGAAUGGUGUCUUUGAAGGUAUUAAGUAUAUGGGAUCUAAACUUCUUGGAUAAUGGGUAAAGGUGAUGAAGAUUAUAGGGUUUUAUGUAUUAAGGAGUGUGUAUGGUGAAGUUUCUCUGGGAUUAUUUUGGAUAUGAGAAAGAAGCUCAAAACUUCUAGAGGCUUGGUUGUGGCUAGGGUGAGUGUAGAGAAUGUUU
rnacentral:lncRNA from 1 species